rnacentral:lncRNA from 1 species
UACCAUGGUGUGGUGAGUGGUCUCAUGCCUCAGUGACAUCAAUGCACUCUCUCAUGCCCCCUGCAGAGGUUAAUAACUGUACUGAAUCCGUCCAUAUCCACCAUCUGAUCUAUAUACUAUGGGUUUCCACUGAUUGGAUGGGAAUGGGGGGUGGGGGGUGGUCUAUUGUUGUUUUCAGUGGUCCUGACUCCACCUGAUGGUGUGGAGUGGGUACAUUGAUGGUAACAAACUAGGGAAGGGCAUUAUCAGUUUGAUUGAAACCAAUCACAUUUGUAGUCUGUGGUCUACCUGCCUUUUGGGGUAUGGACUCUCAUUGAAUCUGAUGAAGUAGUUGGAGACUUUAUGUCUAUUAUCUUAAUGGCACUAAUUAAUUGGCAUCUGGGGUUGGUAAAAUUGUAACUUUUUGGGGCAUGGCUGUAUGAUAGAAACCAUAGAAUCAUUGUGUGAUGGGGUGGUAACAUUUAUUUUAAUGUUUUUUGACAUGCAUUAAAGUAAAUUAGCAAAAAACAAUUCAUGGGUUUUUGAAUUCUCACCCGAUGAGAUAUUGGGCAUAUUCCCAUUUUUGUCCCAAUUAGAAUCCUCACAUUGGAUUACAGUUGUUUACAAAAAUCAGACUUAUUUUUGUUCUCAGAGGUAGAUUUUUCAACCACAUAUUUCUUCAAAUUGGGAAAAUCUAAAACAGAAUUAUAGCUCAUUUUUUUCCAAAAAUAAAAAAAUAAAAUAUCAUUAUUAUACAAAAACCAGUUUAGGAAUAAUCUAAGUUUUCAAAAAAACAAAUUAUUUUUGUAAACCUUUCCAAAUUAAUAACUAUUUUUUAAAAUAAUUAUAAAAAAUAGUUUUUGGAAACAAUUUUUUAAAACUGUUAUUAAAAUAUGUUUGAAAACUUAAAAUGUUUUUAACUUAUUUUUAAUCAUUUUAAAUAUUUAUAUAUUUAUUUUUUAAAAUACCUCUAAAAAAAAGGUAAAAAUAACUAAAGUGUAUUAUUUAAAAAUAUUGUAUUUUUUAUUUUUAAGAAUAAAAAAUAAAACAUAAUUUUUAAUUAUUAAACAAAUUUUUCAUAUUGUUAUUUUAAAGAAUAGAAAACUGUUUUAAAUAUCGAGGUUGUUGUGAUUGCAUGACUGCUUGGUUAAAUUGUGGCUGCUAAAUUUGCAAAUGAUCAUGAUUAAUAUCUUAAUCGUGUGUAGGAAGCUGUCGCCUGUACAAGAGGUGAGAGUGAGACAGUGAUGAAAAUACGAGUUUUAGUUUUGAUGAAUGACAAAUCCCUCCCAUUUUCAUCACUGCCCUUCACCUUUUUCUAUGCAAACACUUGGUCCAAUAGAAAAGGUGAAAUCAAUAAUAAAAGGGUUGAAAAAGCAAAAGCAGAAGGAGAUCAAUAAUUGCCAGCAAGGUGGAUUGGGCAUCAGAUCUCUUAUAUGCAACUCAACCUCUACUUCUCCAAUUGCCCCCCUCCUUUUCAAGGGCAUGGUCCUAUCACCUAUGUGGGUCACUCUCCCUUUACUUCCAUCAUGCCCAAAAUCCUUUCCCUCUAGGCUCUAUGAUGCCCAAUAACUUAAGUAGAAGUUCACCUUUAUUAUUUUUGGGCAUUAUUGGUACUAACUAUAUGUUGUAGUUACAAGCCAUUCUAUUUAUGGUAACAUUCUUUUUUAUCACCCUUCCAUCUUAAUCCAACUCAAAUUAACCUAUCAAUUAUUUUGUGGUUUCAUUUUAUCUUAUUUUUGAGAAAUCUAAAACUUAUUCUUACGUUUUAUGCAGAUUUUUAUAUCCGUUUAACUAAUCUUAUUUAAAUUAAUUUACGAUUUAAGUCAAAAUCCGAAACUAUCCCAAAUGAGACGUGAGUAUUAUUUUAUUAUUCUAUAUUACGGGAUAAUUAAUUUUGCGGGUUUUAAUAAAAUUUUAAAUUGUUUACAAAUGAAAUUUAGUUGAACGAAAGGCAUGUGAAGAGCAUCCUUGGAUGUUAAUAGUAUACAAAGAAGGAGUUGAUUGACUGCUAAUACCAAUGAUCUUAACUUGCCUUUUGCAUUGGGCGGUCGGCUGCCAUCAUUAACUAAUGAUCUAUGAUUGAGUAUAUUCCAAUACUGUACACGUGUCCUCCAUCCGCUGCACUUCUACAAAAGUGGACGGUUCUCAAGUACCCAGGAGCAAUUUUUUAAUUAGCACUCGCUUUACCAAAUCUGCCGCAUCUUUUCCCAAACACCAGGGUUUGGCUUCGUAAACAAGACUCAGCAACCAAAUUAAAAAUAAGUGAGUGAAACCCUGAAGUACGACGACACGUGGGAUCACAGCUGGAGUAGCAAUCAUGCCUUCCACUGGGUAGUGUGAUAUGCCACGUUGGCAAAAAGUGGGUGUCCCAGAAAACGUGUAAUGAUGGUGGAUUAUAUUGGAAAAGCAACUUUUCCACGUGGCAUGGCACGCCACGUCGAUAGCGUAGAGGGCUUUAUUACAACUGGAAGACAUCUGGCACGCGUUUUUGUUGUAAAUUGUCUGGCAGAAGUGGGCCACGUGGUGCCAGAGUAGGUCCACAGACAGCUCAGCGACUGGGAUUGUCGGUCGCUUUCGCUAGCUGUAAAUCAUCAUAAGCGGAGAAGCGUCCGUAUGCGGAUGACGUCAUUAUUAGAAACGAUUUUAUAGAAAUGAAAGUAAUUUUUGUUGGGUGGUGGGUGAGAUUUUUGAAUGAAAGUUCGAGAAAGUAGGGAGGGAGAGAGAAAGGAAAAAAAAAGUUUAAAAAAAGGCGGGACAGCGUGGCGGGCAUUUUGUGGAGGAGGUGGUGUUUGGGGAGUAAUAGAAUAUGGGGCUGUUUGGCUAAUAGGAUAGGAGUUCGGCUACGUGUAUGGAUCUGAUUGGCUAAUCCUGACAGAGAAAAUUUUGCCUAGUGAGAGAUGAUCUCGGGAAAGCAAAUAUAUUUGUUCGAGAAAUAUUAAAUUUUUAAUUCAUUUGCAAUAAAUUCAAUAGCAUAUGAUAUGAAAUAUUUACAUUCCAUAAACAAAUUUUCCCUUAUUUUGAUUUAGAUUUUUUUUUUAAGGUAUGGUAUCGGUAUAUUAAUACUAGAUUUUCUCAUAUAGAAAUAGAAUAAUAUGAAUAACUAUGAUAUCCCUCAUAGUUUCAACGGGAAAGUUCUCAAAAUUGUUUUUUAAAACUGUGAUAAUUUUGGAUUAAAAGUAAAUAAUAUCUAUACGAUUGGAUGUGAGUUACGAUAUUAUAUUUUUAUUUUUUGAUACGUGGAUUAUACACACGUUUUAAAAUAGCAAAGCCAUAUAGUCGGUGUAUUAUUUAAUAUUUGGAUAUUUUAUAAUUGUUAAUAAUUUUAUAGUUUUCACAUACGUGUUCCCAAUUUUAAAUAUUAAAACUCGUUUUAGGAAAAAAAAAUUUAAUUUCUAUAUCACAAAUAAUAAAAAUUAAUUUAAUUUACCAUGUUUGAGUUUUUACAUAAGCCCGUCUAAUUCCAUUAAUUCAUUUGUUUGAAAUUUUAUUAAAUACAUUUUAUGUCAUUAUUUUCUUUAGUUAGUUUUAUCGCUCAAGAUACAUGAGUUAUUUUAUAAAAUUUUAACGGAUGAGGAUUAAAUGUAUUUAACAAAAUCUUGAAAAUAAAUGAAUGAAAUUAAUCAUAAAUAAUAAUGCCUCCCUUUUCCAUACAUUUUUUUAGAAAAUCACUUAAUUAAAAAAAUACAUCUAUAUUAAUUAUCAAAUAAUCUUUAAUGUAAAAGUGAAUUUAGGUGAGAUUACUCAAUAUAAAUGUUUAUAGUAUGAUAUACAUAUUUGAACUCAAAUCCUAUAAAUUUUAAGUUUUUCGAAAAAUUGAUAAUUCAAUAUGAUAUCAGAGUUUUGUAUGAUAUGAGAUUGUAAACUCAAGCCCCUUCUCCACAAUUUGUAUGUUCGCUUCCCAGUCUAUUCCUCCUCUCCCCCCUACCUAAUUUGCAAUUCCGUGGUAUAACUCAACUCAGAGAUAAUGGAGAAAAUCUAUCACUACUGUGGCUAUUCAUAUUCAUCAGUCCAAUAUAACUCCAAAAGAGGUCAUUUUCAAUGUCUAUAUAAUACCAUGUUGCAUGUAGAUAUGAAGAUGAAUUGGUAACUGCUAGAAUCCAAUGUGUUGCAAAUUGCACUUCAAUUAUUGUUUCUGGAUUUGCUAAUUGCAAAGCUGUCUUCAUUUAUUUGAUGCUUAUCAUUAUUUUUUAACCUAUUGGUAAAAUAUAGGUGGCAAAUUUGUUAGGACGGUGGAAUUUGUACAUUAUGAUUUGAUUAUUAAUGUAAAAUAAGAUUUUUGGGUUGUCUUCUACUAUGGUCAAAAAUCUUGAUUAGUUAUUUUGCAUAUCAAUUUUUUCAACUUAAGUCGUAAAUGAAAUUAUGAAUAUGAAAACCAUUUUUUUUUUUACAGCAAAAGAACUUUGACCUUCAUUUUAACGAAGAAAAAAAAAACUAAGAGAAAUGUUUUUCUAUUGUCUUAUGGAGAGAGAUAAAAAAAAUAAGAAAAAACAUGGUUUUUUUUUUUUUUUUGGUCUUUAGAGAGAUUUUUUCACAGAAAAAGAAAAAGAAAAACUUUUCUUUUAAUAGUAUCAUGCUCUUUGAAAGUUUUAAACUUCAAAACACAGCUCCCUCGUUUUUUCAUUUUCUUAUUUAUUGGGUUAAAUCAGGUCAACCCAUUUGGGUGCCUAAUCCUAACUCCAACCGUUAUCAUAAAUAAGUGUUUCAAUUAUUCAUUUAUCAUUAAUUUACUUUUCUAACGAAUGAUAAAACUUCUUUAAACUUUCAAUAACCUGACUAAAAUGGCAUCGGACAACUUACAUUUAAUCUAUAUCAUGGAACGGUUUCGUACAAAAAUUACUUGGCAUUAAUGCUUAAUCACAUUGGAGGGCUAACCUAUUUUGUUUGAUACAUUGGACACACUUCAAUUAUUUAUACAGGCAAAUAAAACAAAAUUGUUCAUAAUUUUAUUCCUACUUGCAAAAAUGAGACAACCAAGUAGCCCUUAAAAUACUAACAAGCAUAAUUUGUAGAUUCUUAAGAAUGUAGGAGGCAUACUGAAUAUUGAAUACAUCUUUCAUAUUUUCAAUCAAUUGACUACCUUGUCUUAUAUCCAUAUCUCACAUUCAUAGGGUGGAUUAGAUUUAGUCCACUGAAAAUGAUGAUCACAAAAGUUUAUUAAAACAAAUGUGAGAUUGUGAUGUGAUUGAUACAAUUAUUUUUAUUAAAAAAAAGGGUCAAUUGUAUGAUUCAAAACAUCCAUACAUAUAUUUAAUUAAUUAAUUAUUAUUAUUUAUAAUUCAUGACCUCGAUUUUCCACUAAAGGAGUGGGUGGAAUUCUUGACAACCACUAAAAUAUGUGGGCAAGUUGUACUUUUUAUAUUUAUUUAUUAUUGUUAUUCAUUUUGUCAAUCCUUGAAUUGAUUAAGUCUAUGUUAUGGGAAAGUGCCAAUUUCUCUCUCCACGUGCAUAGCAUAUGACUAAUUUAUUAAAUUAGUGAAGCUUGAGAUCAACCUGCAGCUGCAUAAGGUAGGGAGAUUACAACUUUUGGUUCGAGGAAAUCAAGGAAACCUUUGAAGGAUUGAUAGAAAAGGGUUUGGUAUUAAUCAUUUGUGUAGCUUCUAUGCUUGAUGCUACUACUCCUAUUCAACCAUUAAUAUAUGGUUUUAAUUUUUUGUACUUAAAAUAGUAUUAAUUUGAGAAUGAAAGCUACUUUAUUGGUAUAAUUUGUAAGGAUUUGCGAUUAAUUUAAACAUAGCCGCUCGUAACCCACCAUAGAACCCUUUUUUAUUUUUUUUUCAAAUUCUUUAUUUGUGAAACUAUUUCAUUGAAAACAAGUUUUAUAAAAUUCAAUAUGGUUUUUGGGAUUUCUCAUCUGAUCGCUCCCGUUAAGCCAAGUUUGAGUAGGUGAUUAUGUUAUUAGAAUUCUUAGGUUUAGGACCGACAAGAGAUCCUCGUGAGUCAAGCUAAAAGCGGUAAGAUGUUAUUUAAAUUGACUUUUGAGAAUUAAAAAUUAUUUUUUAAAUUUAAUAAGAAUUUUUAUGUUUAUUUUGUUAUUUUUAUUUAAAACACUUAGUAGAAACUUAAUUUUAGGUUAUAAAAAAAGCCCUUCUAUAUUUGAUAAAAUCUUUAUAAUACCAAUACCAAAAUUUCAAAAUUAUCUUUUACCUUGUGAUGAAAGCCCAAAAAAAAAAAAGGAGUAAUGCCAUGUGAGGCAUAAGAGGCCUUAGCCCACACCCCACCAUUUACAAAGACAACAAAACCUUGGACCUGGGCCUCGGAGCACAGGCCCAAUGGGAGAAGAAUGGGUGGUCCUCUAUGAAUUUGUACGUUACAAUACUUCAUAUAUGGACUUGAAUGAUGUUCUUAAUUGCUGGAUUUUUUUAAAGAUAAAUGGGAUGGGAUAGUCUCAACAUCAUCAACUUCAAAUCAAUAUUUGUUGAUUCAUUUUCCUUUUUCAGCCUCUUGAAUCCCCAUGCACGUAACGGAUGUUGCUCUCACGAUUUCUCACUAUAUAUACAAACCACAGCAUACAUGCUUCCGCACUCGAUCGACAUGGCUCUGAUGCUGAAGCUCUUUCUUUUCACUCUUCUCUCUGCAUGGAGCCUGGGAUCCAUGGCUUCCGCACGGUACCUGGACAAGAGCUUCAGCCUUGCUGCUCGAUUACAUGCGGACGACGACUCAUCAUCCAAGUGCUGGGAGUCUUUGCUUGAGCUUCAGGCAUGCACUGGAGAGGUUGUCCUGUUCUUCCUCAAUGGUGAGACUCACCUUGGGGCCGGCUGUUGCCAAGCCAUUCAGACCAUUGAGCACCAAUGCUGGCCUGCCAUGCUUACUUCCAUUGGUUUCACUGCCGAGGAGGGCGACAUCCUCCAAGGUUACUGUGAUGCAACCACAUCCUCUUCGGCUCCCCCACCACCACCACCACCACCAUCCAUGGAGCCUAAUGACGUGGUUACCUUGGGUGGCUUUUUCCUCGAUCCUUAGUAGAACGCGUUCUUACUAGCAGUUAUGUCUUUUACAUAUAUCUGAUCCGCUAGUCUAAAUAUAUACAGAAAAGGGUGUUUGGAAUUAAUGAAUGAUUUCCUAUAUAUUGCCCCAUAUUUGUUGCAAUUAAAUUCCAUUUCUUGCUUGAAAAAAAGGUAUAAUAAUUUCCCAUCAUUGAUAGCACUAGUAGUUGUCUUUUAUGGGCUGGACGAGACACACAGAUCGACCCACAAUUCUGCUUACCCAGCCCAUGCUCAGUGGUUUGGACUAACAUAAUUGGAGGCCCAAAAGGGAUAUCAAUAAUAAGAUAAUGUUUGGAAGAUGAGUCUAUUUUUGUAUCUAGAUAAGACCAACUCAUCCCCCUCUAAUUAAUGGAGAGGUAACGGCGUGAAGGGCAAGAUUCUCAAGGACUCAAAAGCCUUUUUGCUUUGAUUUUCCAUCAAGGCAUCAGUGCCAUACACAUAAGUCCAUAAGGUAAUGAAUAAGGAGCGUCAAAUCAGGGUGGGAUGCGAAUAUGCGGAUUGAAAGCCAAGUAUUGAUUUUAGUGGUAUGAGGUGGGUCGUGUAUGGAUGGUGACAUCUAACUAUAAGUCUCUCAAAAGACUUCAAACUUCCCCCCAUCUCCGCCUUCUUUCAUGCUCUUUCCACUCUUCUUUUAACGUAGUAAUUUUUUUUCCCUUUGGGUAAUUAGGAUCUAAGCAUGGAAGAAGAGAAUAUUCGGAUGAGUGUUUCAAGAGUUCUUGGCUUUCUACACAUUGUUACUUCAUUUUCAAGCUGAGGAAUCAAUUGGUCAUUUGUUAUGUGCUUGUUUGUGAUCAUUGGGAAGCAGAUUUAGGGUUUUGAAAGGUCAAAUGCUAAUCAACAGAAGAAGAAAUUUACACCCCAUGCCAACAUAAAGAGAUAAUUGUGGUUAGGAUAGAUUUCAUAUAAUUAACUUCAACUAACUUCUCAUGACCUGCCAUUCCUAGUCAUCAUUCAGUUAGUUAUUUCCUUGCUAUGCCCAUGAUCGAUGCAUCGACCGUUUGCCACUUGUUUUCAUCCAAAAACCUGUCAUUUUCUCUCCGAUCUCGAUCCACUAGAAUGGAUCAAACUGGAUUCUUUCUUCCUCUGGAAUAAUGUAAAGCUAGACUAAAAUUUUAUACAUUCCUCUAUUGGUUGAUGGUUUAUUAAUGGUGAGAUAUCUUGUACAAAUUGAAUCAUCAAGGUCAUUGGAGUGGUGUCCUUGUUGACUAAUUAAUGGGUCCAUGUUUCAUGAUCAUAAGGCCAUCUUGCAUGAUUCAAAUAUACCCUAUUGAAAUGGUAUACAUACACAUGCACAUUGUUCAAAAACGCCCUAGAAAAAGGAAAGGAGGAUAAAAAGAAAUACAAGUCGUCCACUAGUGCCAUAUGUGGAAAAGUAGUGAGCAUACAGAUCUCAACUCCCCUAGAGAAAAUUGUCCUCGUAUGGAACCUCAACAAUGAAUUCUAGAGAAAGCUGUCAAGUGAUCACAGUCCAGAUGAAUCUUGAUUUAGAAGUUAGAAAAAUGAAGGGUUGUUAGGUUAGGGUAGUUAGUCAAUGGCACAAAGAUGUUAUCUUAAAAGUUGUGGAGGAGAGGAGAGGAGAGGAGAGAGUCAGAAAAAAGAAUGAACCUAUCAGAAGAAAGUAAGAAACAUCAAACUAUAAUCUUAUUAACAUGGAACGAUAAUCAUGAUAAAGCCACACAACAAGGGUUUCACAAGGACACACAGAGAGACCCAGGAAACAAGACACAAACUCAUCCAACAUAGCUCAGACAUAGAAAUUAUUUAGCAUAGUUGCUCACUGGCAAUUGUAAAUCUAAUUACACAACAAGCACACAUGCAUGCGUCUAGAAAAGAUGGUGAUGCUUCUUUCCAUGAGCCUCUUCAUCUUCUUCCUUGGCUUCUUUCUUCUCGUGAUGCUCGUGGAACGCGAACCCGCCAGCUCCCACUGCAGCAGCCGCGGCAAUCUCUUCUUCUAUCUUGUGCUUGUGGGCAUGCUCAGGGUCUUUCUCCGACUUGUGCUUCUCAUGCUAUAAUUCAAGCAUCAUCAAGACGAUAAGAAAUAGUUCCUUUGUAUAAAAUUAAUUAAAACAAAAAUAUUUUCAAACUUCAUGACACACGGGGCAUUACCAAGGCGUAAGCGCCAGCAGCAGCGACGCCGAGCUCGCCGAGGUGCUCGAGAUGCUUGUGGUGCUUCUCCUCCUUCCUGUAGUCAGGGCCUGGGUCAUCUGCUAACACUUCGGUGGUUUCGGCAGCGUAGCCGCUGACACCAUCGGUAGCAUAGCUGGUGUCGGAGUAGGUGGUGUCGGAGUAGGGAACGGCGUCGUCAACAGGCUUGUCCUUGUGGUGGAAGAGGUGGUGGUGAUGCUUCUCCUCCGACAUGGUGGUGGUGAUCAAAUUAGCUGCAGAAACGAGAGAGGAAGAUGGUUUGUGAACUGUGAAGGUGUGAUGUGGGAGAGUGCAGUGGUGGGUGGUGGGGUAUUUAUAAAUGCUGGUUGCGAAGGUGUCCAAAGAUCGUGGGAGAGAUGAAUGGGUAUUGGGAAUGGCCCGAAUGGGUGGGGCCUCACCAUUCACCAUUCUUAUCUACAUUUUUCAAAUCUCGAUGGCUCCUACUCUGUCGAUACUUUGUUUUUGUGUCGGCAAUUUCAUUGGAUCUUUAACCACGACAUUUUUUAACCACAUUUUUAGAUUUCCGUGAUAUUAUCAUAAUUGUUUUUGUUAGUCAUUCGUUGGAUUUAUUUCAAAAGUAGGAAAAUGUUUGAAAAAUAUACAUCAUCAUUUGCGUCUUUGAUCCACUCUCAAUAGGAAAUAAAUAAAUAAGAAAAGAAAACCACAAAGUCUCAGGUAGCAAAGAGUCCAUAUCAAAGUAUCAAACCUUUUUAUCGAUGAAUAUUUUUAGGAAGAACAAUCUAUUAUUUGUAAAAUAAUUUUUAUAUAUUGAGUGAUAACCCUUCAAUUCGAUAUCGUUAGAUCAUUAAGGUCGGCUUUUGUCCCUAUUCGACGGGUGGAUCUUGUAGUCAAACUCCCUUUUACCUUUGCACUCAAGGUCCAUCUUUGUUUUGCUUGAGAAAACCUUUGUUAAUUUCCAUUACCUUUUGAGAGACUUACGCUCUAUAAAAAUUAUUUAUCUAUUCCUUGACGAGGAAAUUCAAAUUCUUUUACUUAAAUUUAUUUUAUAAAACAUUAAAAAAGGUUAAAUAUAAUAAAAUUAUUAAAAAUUUGAAUUUAAGAAAUCAUUUAUUUUUUAAAUUUUGACAUGAACAUAUAUGGGUAAAAAACAAAAAGAGACAAAAACAAAAUAUGUUUUUUUGUGCAGUAAUCAAUUAAAAAAUCACUUUCAAUUUAAUAAAAGAUGUAAUUUUUAAUAUUAAAGCUUAGAGAAAAAAGAAUUGACUUGAUUGGAAUGAAUUACAAAAAUCACACCCCAAUGAAGAGGAACCCCAUACAGCACCUCCUUUCCUUUUCAUAAAGCAAAGACCUUUCAUCAGUAGGCAUGUGAAGGAGGGAAAUGAACUUGGCAGAUUCCACCUUAAAGUGCUAAAACAUGGCACUUGCCCCUCUUUCUAAUCAAACUUAACCCCACCUACAUUAUCUACAUUAUUUAUUGUACAUUAUCUUUCUCCAACUAAUACUAGUAUUUCACAUCUCACAAUUUUUUUAUUCUAUUGGAUGUGAGUCUAUUAUUGCAGUUAGGUCAGCUAAUCAGGAUCCCAUGGAUAAGGUGCCACAUAUUAAUAUUUUAGCCUUUUAGGUGUUGCUAUUCAUCCUCCUUUAUGACUUGGGCUCCAUUUCUUUGCUUGAACCUCACUUUUAGGGUAAUUUCUUUUCUUGGACUAUUAGUUUAUUUGUUGCACAUAAAAAGGCCACUUUAAUGGCCGUCAAACUUUGAUAAAAUAUGUCUUAUUUUGUACUUUAAGGUGGUGUUUAUUUUUUAAUUGAAUAAAAAAAAAAUAAAAAUAUUUGAUUUUUUCUAUUUAAUUAAAAGUAAUUUGUUGAGAUCGUUCAAUGUAACUAAAAUGAACUUGUUAUCAAUAAAUUUACUUUAGUUAUGUUAGACAAUAUUAAUAGGUUACUUUUAAUUGAAUAGAAAUAAAAGUCAUUUUAAUUAUAUUGGACAAUAUUAACAAGUUAUUUUUAGUUGAAUAGAAAAAACUAAAUAUUUUAAUUUUUUUUAUUCAGUCAAAAAACAAACAUCACCUAUAAAAAUUGAUAACUUUUAUAUAUUUGUACUAUGGUAGAUGGGCUUGGCCCACUUGGGCGUAGGGUAGAUAUUUGAAUUUUGAACAGAAAAAAAAAAAAGGGAAAAAAGGAAAAAAGGAAAGGGGAAAGAGAAGGAGAAGAUAAAUCAAUAAAUCAUAAAAGCAGGAAGGAGAGGUGGAAAAUGGUCCUCUGGUCUGGACCAGGAGAAAGUGGCCGGUGAUGGGGCCCAUUGGGUCUGUGUCGGCAAGGCCCCAUUUAUUUCGGCAUCAAUAUACCUGCCUGAUUGGUUCCAUGCCUGCCAUAUGUUUACGCUUUUGUCAAUUAUUAUAAAAAACAACUUCUUUGUCAAUAAACUCUUUAAUUUUUACUUCUCUAUCGUCUUUAAUGGGUGUGAAAAAAGUCAUACAUGCCUAUUGUAUUCUUCUCCUUUUUAGUAGGUAAAAACCUACAGGCUAUCCCUAAACUGAAUUUUAUAAUAUUUCAGAAAAUAUGAAAUUUAUUUUUAAUUAAUAAAAAUUUGGAUUAAAUAUCAAUCAUAAUUUCAUAACUGAUAUGGCCGGUGAUAAAGAACGAGUGAGUCACGCUAGGGCCACGGAUGUAUCACAUUCAUGGUGUGCCUGGGCUUAGUGGUUGAUGUGAAAUAGAUAUAGGUGUAGCGCAUAGUGUAAACGGGCCCAGGGAAAUUCAAAAUCGCGUUGCCACGUUCCAUAGAAAGGACAAGAAAUUAGAAGCUGGGAGUGGUCCACGUCUUCCAGGUAACCCCCACGCUGCUAACGAUUAUUCAAUGCCUUCCUACUCCAAAUCAAACCUAAUGUUCAACAUCGACAUGUCUCAUAUGACACAUCCUUAUAGAUGAAGUUGGUGAACUGUGGAGAAGAGAGAGUAAGGGCGUGUGAGCGGAGAUAAUUCACAAUUGAUUGGCAGGUUUCGGAUAUUUUCUUCGGCUUUGUCCUGGGUUUUUGGAAAGGUUUGAUUGGCCCGACCCAAUCCUACAACCCAUACUAAACCACACAAUCGAAUCCUACGAGAGACCAAACCCAACCUUAAAUCAAGUUCCUCAUUAUGGGCUUCAUAGCCCAACUUAGCACUCCAGCCCAUCCUAACAUUGGGAAAAAUAAAUUAAUGAAAAUUAAGACUAGAUAUGAAUAAUUUCUUUUAUUAUCUUAAACUGCUGAAAGGGAUUAGUUAUCCUACACAGCUUGAACAGAAAAAGAGCCCUCUAAAACUCACCUACUUGAGAUUUAAGGCAUAAAAAAGUCCUUACCUUAAUAAUUGUAAGAGAUCGUUGGAUCAAAUGAUUCAAAUCUGGGACUUGCUCACACAAUCAAUCCAUUUCAUGAGACGAAUUACCAGUGAGGCUCUCUUCACCAUCUACAAGAUUUCGGAUGUAGCGAGUCAAGUAAGAACUUGGACCAUAGCAAAUGCUUGAUAAAAACCCUCCAUACAGUAAGCAAUGGAUGCCAAGCUUAAACAGAUUUUUCCUCUCUUGGUUGGUGUCUCUCUGUGCUUCAUACCCACCAGUACUUUCUUCAUCCCAACUCGAAGAAUCCAUGGCAGUGCAGCCUGAAUGAGCCUGAAAACCCCAGAUCUUGGAAGUUUCCAUCUUUUGCAGCCAGUUGGAAUCAAUGGGAUCUUUAAAUUUUUUACAAAGAUGGUGUCCCUGGAUCAGAAAACUCCAAACUUUUGGUGUAAUACUUGAGACACAGUUAAGGAACUGCUUAGAUAUGUUCUCCAAUCCUCCAUUAUGAGCUUGACUCCCAAAAAAAUUGGCCUCGAAUUCAUCUGCUAGUGAGCACUCAUUGCAUUUAUGACUCUGAAGAGACGAAAGAUUUAGAACAGGCAACCUCCCUUUCACAAAGGAAUUCAAUAGUGAGCUUCUAGCAAGACUUAAAAGGGACUCCCCAGCAUUCAUCCAGAAGUUUGCAAUUGAUGCGAUCAAAGAAGAGUCAGAGAGGAAAAUACGGUGGGUUGCACCUGCAAGCAACAAGGAGUAUGCUGCACUGGUCUUGAUCAAGCUCAAGGCUUCCAGCUCAUCUCCGUCCAUUUCAGAAUGCAGAUCCAGUAAUUGACUAGCACGGACUCUGUAUGCAGAAGCCAGUGUUGUGUAGGCGGCCAAAGAGAGAUGGUGCAGGGGGUGCAACUUGAAAUUUGCUUGUGAUUUUCCCUCAAUUGGUUCUAACUGCUCAUCUGGAAGACCUUGAGCAAUAACAUUCUCAAGCUUCUCACAGCAAGCUUCAGGGUUGCCAACUGACAAAUAGUCAGCUAUAGCAUCAUCUACAUAAUCAGUCAACUUUCUGAUUUCCUCCUCUCUACACAUGUUAUCAUCUAUGUAAUUGAGACUAUGAGCCAAAGUUUCCUAUAGGGAAGAACAGAGAAAUGUCAAUCCUUGUUUUAUGACAGUACUAGAAUUCAGGCACUUCAAUUGCAGAUUAAAAAAUGCUUGUGAAGUUCAGACUUCAGAGUUGAUACAGAAAUAUUGUGAGUACUUCACCGUACAAAGUGGCCCCCGAAAAAUAACCAGAGUGGACAAGGGAAAGGAUAAAACAGGAUGAGAAAAGCUACUAUGAAUUACUCAAUAGCUUUUCCUAGUUCCAAUUGAUAUGGAGAAAAAGACUCCAACUGUCUGUCAGCCUUUUGAGAAGGAAAAAGCAGAUGUAACUAAGGGAGACAACUUGAAGAAACAAAAGAUAUGAAAGGCAAAGAAGAAAAUAAAUAGCACACAUACAGAUUCUGGAUGCAGCUCUAAUUGCAAAUGACGCAGCUGACUCAAGGGAGAGAAGCUCUAGGGCUGGUUUAGUUUGCAAGUUGGACAUAUGUACUUUGGUGUGCCCCUUUUGGCAUUUUAAUACAAUUUGCACUUACCUAUCAAAAAAAAAAAAAAGUUUGCAAUUUGGACAUAGAAAAGGCUUAUGACCAUGUUGAUUGGAAUUUUCUCCUCCCAGUAACGAAAAAGAUGGAGUUUGGUCUAAAAUCGAGAAAGUGGAUUCAUUUUUCCAUUGUAAGGAUGUCAAUCUUAGUCAAUGUUUCUCCUUCAGAUUUCUUUCAGACAUCUAGAGGAUUGUGGCAGGGUGAUCCUCUCUCACCCUAUCUCUUCAUGAUUGUCAUGGAAGCUCUACAUUGUAUACUCUCAAGGGCUGACUAGGGAGUGUUCAUUCAUGGCUUCAAGGUCAGGGGCAGAAGGGGUGAAGGUUUCCAAGUAUUCCAUCUCCUGUUUAAGGAUGAUAGAAAAAUUUGGAUCAACUAAGAUACUGGAGGUGGAUUGUAAUAGGCUUCAAGGUUGUGUUAGGUCUGAAAAUAAACCUGUAAAAAAGUAACUCAUUCUAAUGGGGAAAGUGGAGGAUGUGGUGAGAUCAUCAUCUUUGCUUGGGUGUAAGAUUGGAAGGCUUCCCACUUCUUAUCAUGGUUUGCCCUUUGGAGUGCUUCAUAAGUAUUGCGUUGUAUGGGAUGCUGUCAAGGAAAUGUUUGGUAAAAGAUUGGCUUCUUGGAAGGUGUGGUAUUUGUCAAAAAGAGGAAGAUUAGUUCUUUCAAAGAGCACUUUCUCAAGCUUAUCAAUCUAUUUUAUGGCCUUUUUUUCUAUUUCCAGGAAAGUGAGGAUCAAAUCAUAAAGGAUUCAGAGAGACUUUUUGUAAGGAAAUCUUUGGUAAACCAAUAAGAUGCAUUNNNNNNNNNNNNNNNNNNNNNNNNNNNNNNNNNNNNNNNNNNNNNNNNNNNNNNNNNNNNNNNNNNNNNNNNNNNNNNNNNNNNNNNNNNNNNNNNNNNNAGGAAGAACAUCCAAAGAAAGUGCAGGGAACUGGUCAAGGGGUGGAACAUUUGUGAGGUGAGGGAGACUUCUGGUAUAAGCCUAUGGAAAGACUUAAGAAAAGGUUGGGAGGAAUUCAACCACAGGAUAGCUAUCCAAAUUAAAAAUGGUAGCCAGACAAAAUUUUAGAGGGAUGGGUGGGUGGGUGGGGGGGAACUGUUUGAAAGAAGCAUUUCCUCUAUUGUUUAGUCUAGCUUCUCAAAAGAAUGCCAUUGUUGCAAACAUGUGGGAUGGGAGAGGUAGUGGAGGCCAGUGGGUGCAUUUCAAAAGGCCAUUCCAAGAUUGGGAAAUGGAGGGGGUGUCCUAAUUUUUAGAACUUAUUUAUUCAUACAGCAAAAGUGCAAGAAGAAGGGAAAGAUAUCUUAGUUUGGAAGGAGGAUAGGAAGAGAAUCUUCAGUACUAAGUUGUACUACAGUUCAUUGUGUGCCGAAUUUAGAGUGGACUUCCCAACCAAAGAAAUUUGGGGGCUCCCAAGCUCUUACGAGAUCAUGUUUUCUCACUUGGGAAACAGUAUGGGAGAAGAUCUCAACCAUAGAUUUGUUAAUGAAGAGGGAUGGACAAUGUUAAUAGAUAUAGUCUUUGCAAAGAGAGUGAUGAGUCUGCUGAUCAAAUUUUCAUUCACUGUGCAAUGACAAAGGUAUUAUAGAUGUUUGUUUUAUCAAUUUUUAGUUAGAAAUAAGUUUCUAGCUACAGUGAGGAAUAUGCUUCUCAAGUGGAAGUUUUUAAGGUAUUGGACAAGAAGAGUCACCAUCUUUGACAAAUGACACCCCUCUGCUUAUUCUGGUGUAUAUGGAAAGAGGGAAACCAUAAAAUCUUUAAUGGGGAAGAGCUUGCAUAUUAGAGAUUAAAAGAGAGCUUUAUUAAAUCCCUCUUUGAUUGGUCCAAAGUUCUGUUAGAAAUGGGCAAUUCUGAAUGAUGGCUUUCGUAAAUGGUCUUAGUUGUGGAUAGUUUGGUUUUGAGUUGAGGUUGUUUUUUUAUUCGUUGUUUUGUUUUUUUUGUGUUUACUCCCAGUAUAUGUAAGGUAUGCCCCCUUUCAUUGGCAUGCUCUUUUAAUAUAUUAUCCUUUUGCUUAUCAAAAGAAAAAAAGAAAAAAGAAAAAAGAAAAAUAAAGAGAACACAUAAAUCAGGGGAAGGAUGAAGGAAUUAAACCAAUAGGAAUGAGAAACAGUUGGGUAUAUUUUUUCGACAGAUACUUCAUGCAGCAGGGGCAAGAUGGGGGAAAACCUUACCACUCCUGGUGCCAUAAAUGUGGCAUAUAUGCAUCGUGUUCUAACUCCACACCUAGUACUAUAAUUUUCACAGAAGACGAUCACCCUUCCCCACCCAGCAAAUCUAAAAUCAAGUUGCAAAAUGAAUCUUCUAGACUGCUUUCGGAUUUCUCCUAAACAUCAAAAUAAACAAAUGAUAGGCAUACUGUUCCAUAGAAGUCUUACUUGCAAAACAAGAUCCACAUAAGUAGGGGGCGAUGCAUUACAACGGUUACAGCAACAGGAAAACCAAUACUUCACCCAUAACUCUGCAUGUCUAAUUUCCUGGAAAAUCAAAUCAGUGCAAAUAAAAGCGUAUAACGUGAACUCAAAAAACUAAAAAAAAAACAGAGUAUAGAAGGAUGAGUUGGAACACAUUUUAGCACAAUGCCACUGAGUUCACUUACACUAUGGUGAUUAUGCAAGUAAUAUAAAAUCAUGCAACUUCUCAUUAGGUCGACUCCUUGUCAUUUUUCGCAAUCACUUCAAACAUAAGGCACAAUGCAAUAAUCUAAAAGCUUAAAAGUAAUAGCAGAUAUGCCAAAUUUACAAGCACAUUUUGCACAUUCAAUCUCUUAACAGUGGAACUGUAGAUACUGAAAAUGAAGAUUACCUUAGGCUGCAACAGGUCUAUGUAUGCAACCCACACCUCCUCACCCUUUUUAAUUGCCUUGAUGCUCCGAACGAUGAUUCUUGGCCCGUGUAUGUUGCAUCCUUUACUAGAGAAAAUCAAUUACAAGUAGAUAAUCAAAAUAUCCAAUAAAUUCACAACUGAUUUUUUUGAGAAACCAAAUUGAAAAAAACAUAAAAUAAUUAAAAUAAAAAAGAUUCAAUCACCUUCUAUUGAUUCACUUUUGCUACGAACAGCAUUCUGUAUCUGAAAAACAUUUCGGUUUCAUAAUUUUCAAAUCCUUUGAAUAUGGUUAAAAUUAAAGAAACAAUUCAGAAUUUAGGAAUAGUGAUCUAUUUUUCUUUACUUCAAUUUCAUCAUUGCCUCCAGGGAUAAUCUGGAGCCUCGACUCGCCAGAAAACUGGGGCGUCUCAGGUGAACGGAGCAAGAAACGGUAACAAGCAUUGGGAGAACAGCUGUGAUUGAUCCAAGAGAAGCACCAAUCGUAGACGGCUAUCCCUAGGGCGGACCCUCCAUUAACCUGCACUUCAACUGCAUUGGUGAGGACCAGGCAGAGCAGGGCCUCCUCCAGUUUGGAGUCCCCGGAGAAUUCCGUACCAUCUCGCAUACAUCGGGCAACGGCCAUGGCCUUGCCGCCGUCUCGGAUUCUCGUCAGAGUCUCAUCACUUUCCGAGUUGUGGGAGGGUGAGAUGAGGUGGUGGAGGUUGGUGAGUAGGCCGCAGAUUCGAUGGAGCGGUUGGGUAUGGAGGGGAGGGAGGUGGAGGAUGUGGAGGAGGCGGAGGGCAGCACGGAGGUCGGAGGAGUGAGCGGUGGAGGGGUGGGAAUGGCGGAGGAGGAGGAAGAGGUGGUGCUCGGCGCUGGAGAAGUGGAGGGGGGAGUCGGAGGCGGAGCAUGGUGGAGAGCAGUAGCAGAGAAAGGAGGAACUAGGGUUGGUAUUGACGAGAACAGUGGGCGGUAGAGGUGAGAAACAGGCGGAGCAGUGAGAGCGAAGGUGAGAGUCGUGGAGAGAGGAGGCUAGGGGUGGGAGUGGAUGGGUCAGGUCUAACCCCAUUUCUGUGUCCUCUCUCAUUCUCAUCUCCAUUCUUUACCAUACGGAUUGCAGGCAUUCUCAAUUCUAGUUCUUAAUACUGCUGCUCCCUUCUCCCCCUUCCUAAACCAUCCAUUUAGGAAAGCAGAAAUAUAACCACAGUUUAUUUACUUAUUUAUGAUGUUUCUAAUACACAACACCUGCAAAAAUUAAUGACAAAAUCUGUCCCAAUGGAAGGUAGACAAGAGCACAGACAUCUGAGCACAUAUUUACCAGCCUUAUCAUAUCAACAAACAAUAGUUGAAAUGCCAUUCUUCCUGAGAGUUUGGCCCCUUGAUCAAGACUGCCAUGAAGCAAACCCAUAAUUCAUUAGAGGAGGAUACCAUGUUUACUCUCAUUGGCAGUGGGCGGACCUGGGAAUGAGUCAAGUGACAGAACUCUGAAAACUUGCCUUGAGGAAAUCCCUCAACAAAUCCAAACAUUACUGGGUUGCCUUCAUAAUAAUUAUAAAGAAAACAAAUUCUUCCCAUUGAAUUUCCAGGACAAGUGCAACAGCUGUGCCAAUUUCCAACAGCUUAAACAAUUGAGUAAUCAAAAUUGUUUGUCUCUACAUCAACUGAUGGAGUCCACCGGACCAUGAUCAAAUUUCAUCAUAUUUUACAGAUAAAAUACCAGUUAUUUAGAAAAGCAUGGAUUGUGAUCUUCCUGUGCAGUUUUCCUUCAUCACAUCCCGUAUGCGACUUCAGUUGCUUCAUUACAUCAGUUUCUGAUUUCUAACUUGAACAACUGUAUUAACACCCAAAAGGAAAAAAAGGAACUAAGGGACUAUUUAACAGUUAAGACUAGAAGGGUUUUAGAAUUGAACUGGAAAGGGUUCAAAUAGAGGAAGAAGGAAGAAACUCACCAAAAGAACUAUUGUUUCACUUUUAGUGUGGUCUCAAUGCGCUGGAUGAGCUGAUCUGCAGUCAAAGCACCUUCCUGGAAUUCAUCAGACAGGAAUAGUAACAAAGAAAUUAGAACAUAAAAAAUAAAUAAACUAGUGGCAAUAUAACAACCAAAAGAAAAAUACAAUCAAAAGUACAGUGAAAACCAAGAUAAACAAUUGACUAAGGUGCCACUGUACAACCAGAGGCCCAACCAUGCAUUGUAUAAAUGCGGAAGAAAAUUCUGUAGACAUCAUCUCCUAUGCCAAGGAGAAAACCUUCAUUGGCUAAUCCCAUGAAAAAGUAUAAUUCAAUAGAGUCAAAGUGUGUGAAAACCAAGCCAGUGCUACAAGCAGGAAGCCUAAGAACUGAGUCAUUGCCAGUGUAAGCUUUGCCUGUAAGUAAAGAAGGCAGUUAACAAUCAUGUUACAGGGGCUGCCCAUUCACAGGCACGUGCAAGAUGAAAAUCAUGUGGGCAAUUCAUGACAAUUUCCCAAAAAGGUUUUUUUGUACAAGUGCAUACUAGAUACGAAUUCCACUUACAAAGCGAUCAUAUGGCUUCCCAUCUUUAAAUAUGAUGAAAGUAGGCAAUGCCUCUAUUCUGUACUUAUCAGCAAUGCUCGGGUAUUUCUCAGUAUCAAUUUUCACCACCUGGAUCUUGUCUUUCAGAGAAGCACCGACUUCGUUGAGGAUAGGAACCAUGAACUGACAAGGGCCACACCUGGAAACCAGUACUUCGUUACUUCUAGUUUUAUUUAGUUCCCUCAAUAUCUCAUAGAAAUAGAGACUCCUUAGAACAGCACACCCUCAAGGAAACACUUUAAUGAGGGACUGCCCUACUGAGUAGCAUGUCUUAUUGAUGGAAUAUAAUUUGGCUUAAAAACUCACAUUUUGCUGCCAAGACAGCUAAUUCAGGUUAUCAUCUAGCUUACAACAAAAUAACAAACCAUCUCAUAUCAUUUUCCUUCUAUUUAAAGAGCAAAGAAACGGUGGCAAGUAUGGGAUUUAUUUUAUUUCAUUUUUUUUUUUUAAAAAAAAAAAACUCACCAAGUUGCAUAGAAGUCUACCAGAACAGGUUUUUCAGAAUUUGCUAGCAAUUCAUCCAAGGAAGAAAAUGUUUGCUUCUUUGCUUCAACCUAAAGAAAUCACAACAAUGUGGAAGUUACCCAUUAAUUUAUAGACACAUUCAGAAUUUGGUAGUCCAACCAUGCUUAUCUAAAUAUGCCAAUAUAACAGAGUCAAUUAGGAAAAUGUCCCAAACUCCUAAGAUAUAAUAUUAACAUAAAAUGUUUGUUCAGAAUGCAGAGAAACAAAAACCAAGAUACCUGUAAUCUGACAUUACAAAAAAAUGAGUCAAUUUACUCUGAGUCAAUUUAAAUUGGAAUUUAUGAACAUUCCAAUAUACUUUACUCUGGGUAACAGGCAGUUAGUAAGCAUGUCAAAUCAAAUAUUUAAGCACCAGUUAGAUAUCUAGAUUACAACUUUUCAUGACUCUUUAACUUUGAAAUCAUAGCUUCCAACUUGGAAGGUUAACAGGCAAAGCAGUGCACAAUUAUAUGGUCACUAUGACACCUUGUUUCUAGAUUAACUACUAGUCUAUCAGAUGACAAUUGAGUGCUCGUAUGCAGCGAACAAUGGUAUAGAGCUAAAUAGCAGAUGAAGUACAUUAGCUGGUUUACAUUGUCAAAUUGGAAACUAUGGGUAUGUUUGGAAUUUGCUUUCAAAAACAGUUUUAUGUUUUUAAGAACAAAAAUAAAAUAAAAUAAAGGAAAACAUGUUUGACAAUCAGGAAACAAGAUGUUUUAUGAGAAUAUAUUUUAAUUGUUUUCAGUCGUUUUCACUUAAUUUUAAAUAUGUUUUAAAGGAUAAUCCUACAAAUAUGGAGAAUGAUUGAAAAUAAAGCACUACAACAAAAGUUAUUUUAAAAAACAUAGAAAUUAGGUUGACAACAUUUCAAGUUCCAAUGAAAUGUUUUCAAACAGACUUCCAUUCUAGAAAACAUUAAAAAACAAUUUUCAAAAACCAUUUUUCAAAACUGUUUUUGAAAACACUUCCAAAUAGAGUCUAUAUAACUCUAUUAUUUCCUUUUAUUUUUCUCUAUUAAGAAAACCAUGUGUUGUCUGUCUCUCAUUUACAUGACCUAACAUUUCUCCUCAACUCAAGCGUUCACACCCUCAAUUAAGCAACCCAAACGCACUUAAUCCCAAAGGUUGUGUUUGUGUUUGGCCCUCGCAACCAACAAAUGCAACGACAUGAAAAUGCUGAAAUUAACUUCAUUCUCACUAACCAAUCUUAAUUUUUCCAGGAAUGACUAUCCUCUAAACAAACAUAUGCGCAAUCAACAAGAAAAACGCACGAGAAAAUAAAAGGCGAAUCCUUGCAUCUAGCACAAAAUGUCUCCACCAACUGAUCCAACACACCACAACACAUUCCCAAAGCAGAAUAUACAAACACCGUUCACAAGAAUUCGGAAAAUUCCAAUAAAAAAAAUCCACAACAUUCUGAAUUUUAAUAAUAAUAAUAAUAAUCAUAAAAAAGGCACCGAAGCAAAACAAAUUACCACAGGAAGGGUUCGAGGCCUAGACGGGGAUGAAAUUCCGUUGUUGCCGAUUCGAAUAGGGCGGAGCUGCCUAGGAAACUGCAAGGGGGACGAUGAGAAGAGCUUGGAAGAAGGGGAGGAAGAAGAAAAGGCUAAAGGAGUGGGGCGUUGAGAAUUCAACGCACGAACUGUAGAGAAAGUGAGCGAGGUGGCCAUUGGAGAGAAACCCUAGAACCAGAUGUUUUGGAUAAAAAUGGAACUGGACCAGAAAAAUCUGCUGGGAAGGGAGGAGAAAAAGAAGUGCGGAGACGAAGAGAACAAGAAGAGAGAUGUUAAGGUGCGGAGGUAUAGUAGAAUAAUAAAUAGGAGGACCAGAUCCGCGGGUGUGGGAGUUUCACAGCUAUGAUCCGACGGCCAGCAUACAUUAUCACACUUGGAGAUCCCAGCAGCCAGAUGCGUGUACUCUCCAUUUUUUUAUUUUAUUUUCACGUGAACCCCAAGGGAAAAUGACUACUCCAAUAAUUUACAUUUUCUUUUACCAAAAAGAUUAAAAAUCGGAUUCAGUAUCCAGAAAGGAUAAAAGAUUUUAAAUAAUUCAAUAUAAAACAUAAUGAGAAAAUCUUUAUAGAAUCAAUCCAACCACGUUCUAGUAAGAAACACCAGUGGGGGCAAGAAGUGGAACUACCGGUAAGCCAACAAGAUCCUCUUCAAAUUCAUGCUACAUUUUAUUAGACCAAUGUCUAAGGCCAAAAAUGAAGACUACAUGUGAGGAAAACGGUUGAGUCUAAAUCCUACAAACUUAAGUUUUUUUAAAAAUCGAUUAUUCAAUGGAAUGAAGAUGUAAAUAAUAAAACAAUGAGACCGGACAUGGUAUAAAACAAUAGGAUCUAAAUGCAUGUAUGAUACGACCUGAUUGAUCAUGCUUUUUGAUAUCGAUUUGGUAAUGUAAGGGGACCUUUUUUAACAUUACGUGAGUUUGGUAAAGGAGGCUGACUUUAUGGGCUGGAUGAACACGUAUGACUGGAGAUGAGAGGAGCAGCAAUACAAUGUUGAUCAUCACUUUACGUAGGCUCCUGCAUGCCACAAUGUUGAUCGUCACUUUCCAGAACACUAAAACCAUUUCAGGGUUCAGAGAAAAUUCGUAAGAGUCCGCACUCAAAACAGCUCUCUUAACAAUAAACUUGAAACAUCAAAUAAUGUUAAAUUACAACGUGGAAGGUUGAUGUCGUGGCAGUAAGUUAUGGCCAAACCUCAUCCAUCACUAGUCAAUGUGAGUGCCAGAAAAACUACUGUAAGUGCAGAGAAUAUGGUUGCACAGGCAAAUACCCACAUCGCCCUGCUCCUCACCCUGCCACUACUAUGGCUUGCCGGGCUGCCCAUCUCGACCUCUUUUAGAAGCUCCCUCACCUCAUCCAUAUUUGAGUCUUUUGCAGCUUGGGUUAGUCUACCAUGAAUUUUAUCAAGCCUACUCAGCCUUUUACUUCGGGAUGCAUCCUUGGCUGACCAGAUAAAACCCGUCAUCUUCCACAGAAGAAUGCCCACAUAGAUGGCCACAACACAGUCCACAGUGUAAUGGUGGCGUUCCCGUAUUUCCCUUUGGGCACUGUGCAAUACAAACAGCCAUAUGACAGCCGAGCUGAAACCUCCAUAAGCUUCCUGCAAACAUUUUUUUUGACACAGAGAAAGACACAAAAUUUAGUAUUAUGCAUUUUAAGCCUCAGUGCUACUGAUCAAUAAAUGUCAAGAGGAGGGAUUGCAAGUGUUUAAUAAAUAUACCGUCCAAGCCAUAGCAGUCAGUACUGCUACAAGAAUGUGGCCACUGUAUAUGAGGUCAUUGCAUCCUCCUCCAGCUUUCUUUAGCAGAUUGUACCAUGACCCGUCAGUAGUAGUUGGUCGCAGGAAGUCUAUAAGGAAGCUCAUUGAACCCCAAUCAGGACGAAAGUCACCAAGGUAAUUUCCAACAUCAGCUGAGAAAGAGGAAGAGAAUUAUUAAACCCACCUCCCUGUAAAACAGGAACCCAUCUGUAGUAGUUCUUAGGGUAGAUCUAAUAAUGGAGAACAUAGAACUCAUGAAGGUUACAGAAUUUAACCCUUUUUCCAACAUUGAAAACUAAAGAAAACUCUCUCAGGGCUUCUGUACAUGUCAACAAUGAAUUUAGAUUUCCAGGAGAUUGGAUGUUGAUUGAAUUGAAGAUUCACUAAAAUCUUGUAAGCACCUUAGUUAUUCCAAACCCAAUAGGCAAGUAGAAGAUGCGAACCUAAGAAUUAAUAGGACUUAUAAAGAAAUUUCAUAGAGAAAAUUGAGAUGAAACAGUGAAUCUGGACAAUAUGAUUUUUGCCAUGGGUACUCUAGCAGUAAUCAAGCGAAUAUAGAGCUUAAAAUCCCUUUUUCUCGCCUCAAGGCUCCACUACAAAACCCCUUCAAAUGCAUUAAACCCAUAAAAUGAGAGGAAAUUAGUUGGGUACAAAACACAUACCAUAGGCUAUAUCACGUUCUAUUACUUGACGAAUAGCAGCUGGAUCCGAAGCAUAAGGGACAUAAUAUUUUUGAGCCCAAUGAUGUGGGUGUGCAGGAACUCUGAAGCGGGCAAAAGCACACCAAGGCCGGGCCGAUGGCAGAAUUGUAGAUACAAAAGUUAUGGCCCGAAGAAAUCGCCCUAUUGCCAUGGUGAACAUGUACCUAGCACCUAGCCCAAGGCCAGGAGCUUUUACAGAGUCGAAUAAUACUGAGAAAGCCAGCAUCAUGAACAGCAUCAAAAAAUGGUGCAAUCCAAUAAUAUGCGCUCUAAGUAUCUCAACCACCGUAGGAGGAAGUUUCUCAUUCAACGCCAGGAGAAACCACUGGCCAGUGUCAGGAAGGGGAGGAGUAUCACUGCCAGACAUGAAUAAGCCAAUUGAUUGUCUCAUUGCUCAACAUACAGUAAACACAAAGUUGAACUAGUGUUGAAAGAUUAUGAUAUUAUCUUGGUAGAAAUAUUCCUGAAAAUGGACUCAGCUGUUGAUAAAUAUCCAUGAAGCAUUCUGGAGGAUCAGAUCCACUAACAGAAACUAUCACGUCUAAUAGAUGUUUUCUGAUCCAGUUGCAAUGAGUUGAUAGCAUUUUCAGGUUAUAUCAAAUGAUUCUUUAAAGAAGAAAUUGCAGCAUCUGCAAUAAUUAAAUCUCUGUCUCUCUAUAGGGAUUUUCAGAUUCAGCUUGAAUAAUGAUCCUGAAAAAGAGGAAUCAUUGCAUCUGUAUGUAUUUAAAUCUCUCAGUCUCCUGAGAUGUUUUCAUAUCUAGUUCAAAUGACGCGUGACUUUAUUUUCAUGUUAUAUCAAAUAAUACUUUAAAAAAGGACCUUUUUUAUGGGCAAAAAGUGAUAUUAUCAACAGCGCAUAAUCAGAAGAGGGCACACCAAAGCUUCAAAAAAGGACUUGUUGCAUCCUAUGUAUUUAAAUCUCUCUUUCUGUGAGUGCGUGCAUCAACAUAUAAAGCAUUACCUAUGUUAAGGAAUCAACAUGAUACGAAUAAAAGUGUCCUUGUUAGGGAUGUUUGAAUAUAAUAACACUUAUGUACAUACAGCACAGUUAUAAAUUCUCUCCUUCUCUCUCUGUGUGUAUGUGAAAAUUUUCAAUCUUACCUACAUGCAACCUGACACCAAUACAAGUAUCCUCAUUGCUGAGUGGUUUGCAUAUGAUAAGAACAUUUAUGUGUGUGUAUAUAGUUAAGGGUUGGGCCCCAAUUUUAAUGAUGAUUUUUAGCAAGAAGACUUGAAAAUCAAUUUGAAACCCUUAGUUAGUGUAAUCGGUAGUCUUUUUGCAUAUAAGCAAAGUGAGGGCAUACUAUAUAAGAAUGAAAGACCUUACUUUAACUUAGGAGACCACAUUGAACCUUAAUUUUUACAUGAAAAUCUCUAAAGGUUUUCUAAAAAGUUUAGUGACUUAACUGACAUUUUUCUGUACUUGAAAAAUACUCAAAAGCAUUGGUUAAAAUAUUUUAACAGUUUUCUAAUGUCUUAAAGUCCCUUAAAGGAUGGUUAAAGCCCUCGAUAAGAGUUAUCGGAGCAUCAAAAUGCAAUGGGGUAUGUAUGUGGUCAUCUAGGCGAUCGUCCAUAUGUGCUUUUUACCAUGCUGAUGUCCGGUUCUAGGGGACUUUUGUGUUUAAUAGGUAGUUUGAUUUCAAAAAGGAAUAAAUGCAUUGCCUUAGACACAUAUAACAUAGGCCUAACAAAUGCAAAUCAUUACUAUUCCAUUGAAACCUUUCUUUAAGACAUUCAAGUAUGCUUUAAACUUAUACUUGCUAACCCUCAUUUAAGAUGCUUAAACUUGAACAUUAAAUUACCUAUCUACUCUUUGUUAGAGUGUUCAUUGUAUUUUUUCUUUCAAUUGCAAUUUAGUGAGAUUGUAAGAAAUGUGUAUGAAUAACAUCUUGAAGUUAUAAAGAACCUGAUGGCCUCCUAUACGUAAUGUGUAUACUAGAAAGGGGAAGAGGAGUGUACUGCCACCUGGCAGCUAGUUGUAAUAGUCUUAGUACAGGUUGGAAGGAGUGUACUGCCAGGUGCAAUUAGCCAUAACGGUCUUAGUACAGGCUGGAAUAACUUUAGGAAAAAGAUGGAAUUUGUGGAGCAGCUGGCUGUUGUGUGAGUCUGGUGGGAGAGUGAUAGCCUCUCGAAUAGCCAUCUUUGUAUCUGUUUGGCCCUUUUCUUGAAAUUUUGGAAAUUCAAUAAUAUUGCUAGUAAUUUUUUCUUCAUUAGAUACCUAUCAAUUUGGUAUCAGAGCAUUGAUCCAGAUGACUCAGAAGAAGAAUGAUGGCCGGGUGGAUUCUCUGGAGAAGGAAGUUGGAGAAAUCAAAGAGGAGAUGCAGCGCCUACUGGGAAUGGAAAAGACCGUGAUGGACCUUGCCUAGAACAUGAUGUGAGUUCUGCAGUUGCUGAAAUUGACACAGAAGGCAGUGGGGGUGUUGUCAUCAGGGCGGGUCACGACGAUUCCUCAUUGUGAGGGAGGCAGGGUGGAUCGAUGCAUGGGAGUAUGAUUGCUACUCAAUGAGAAGACCAUGCGGAAUGGAUCCCUGGAGUUGGGGAAACCAAUGGGGGGUUGGAUAGUGAUGGAUGAGAUGAGGCGAGGCAGAAACGGGGAAUGGCAUGGAGAUGGCACUUGGAGAUGCCUGUGUUUAUGGGAGACAACCCGAACGACUCGAUCUUUCGAGGUAAUCAAUACUUCAUAAUGAAUGGACUCACGAAAGAGGAGAAAUUAGUUGCCCCUACGAUGAGUCUUGAUGGGGACACACUUUCUUGGUACCAGUGGAUUGAUUCGAGAGAGGCAUUUGGGAGCUGGGAAAAUUUGAAGAGGCGACUGCUGCUCCGCUUUCGUCUGACUCAAGAAGGGAGCCUUUGUGAGCAGUUUCUUGCAGUGCGUCAGGAAGGGAUAGUGGCGGCUUACUAGCAGGAGUUUGAGAUUCUAGUUGCUCCCUUGAAGGGGAUUUCUGAGGAGGUAAUAGAAAGCACAUUUGUGAGCGGACUGCUUCUUGAGAUUUGGGUUGAGAUACAUUUUCUGCAACCAUGUGGGCUAGGCCACUUGAUGGAAAUGGCUCAACAGGUCGAAGACAGAAAUUUAAUCUUGUGGGCGGCCCAUGAACCAAGGGACCCAAAGAACACCAAAAUAUUGUCGUUCGCAAAUCGGGGGGAUUGGAAGACUAGGGAAACUUUUCAAACUAGGGCAAUGACUACUAGUGAUGUGAGAUUCUGAGUCUCUGACAAAGAGAUUGACGGAGUAUGAGCUCCAAGCCCGUAGAGAGAAGGGACUUUGUUUUUAGUGUGAUGAGAAGUUCUCACUUGGCCAUCGUUGUAAGAAGGAAUUAAGGGUUUUGCUGGUGCACGAAGAUGAGGAGGAGGAUAAUCAGUUUGAUGGUGAAGCAACUGUGGAACCUCCACUGAUUGAGCUGAAAGAUGUUGUGAAGUUAUCUCUAAAUUCUGUGGUCAGUUUAACAACAUCGGGGACUAUGAAAAUCAAGGGGACGAUCAAGCUGAAUGAGGUAAUCAAUCUUGUGGACGGUGGGGCUACCCACAAUUUUUACCCCUUGAUUUAGUUCAAUGAUUAGCACUUCCAUUAACUACAACAACCAAUUACGAGGUGGUGAUGGGAAUUGGGAUAUCCGUGAAAGAGAAGGGCAUUUGUAGGGGAGUUUGUAUUUCGAUGCAGGGGCUCACUGUAGUGUAAGAUUUUCUUCCACUUGAAUUAGGCAACACUGAUGUAAUUUUGGGAAUGCCUUGGUUGGGGACUUUAGGAUACAUGGAGGUAAAUUGGAAGAUGCUAAUGAUGAAGAUCAAAAUGGGGAAGUGGUGAUAUUGUUAAAGGGAGACCCAAGCCUCAGUAAGACCAAGGUGUCUCUUAAGGCAAUGGCUAGAGCAUUGCAGCACCGUGGCUAGAGGGUGUGGGUGGAACUCUAUCAAAUUUCCACCGAUUCAAGUUCAAGUGAAGGAGUAUAGGAGGUCCCAAAAGCAGUCAAAGAAGGACUAGCUCAACAUCAACAAGUCUUUGGGCAAAUGACGGAGUUACCACCGAAUCGUAAUAUUGACCAUGCCAUCCGAUUGAUUUUGAGAGCGCCACCAGUUAAUGUUCGUACCUAUCGAUACCCACAUAUUCUAAAGAAUAAAAUAGAGAGAUUGGUACAAGACAUGAUUGAGGCAGGAAUUAUUUGGCCUAGCUUAAGUCCAUUUUCUAGUCCAAUGUUGCUGGUUAAAAAAAAAAAGAUGGAGGAUGGAGGUUUUGCAUAGAUUAUUGUGCACUCAACAAAGUUACAAUUCUGGAUCGGUUCCUUAUUCCAGUAAUCAAUGAGUUACUUGACGAACUUCAUGGCAUAACCAUUUUUUCCAAGCUAUACCUCAAAUAUGAUUACCACCAUAUUUGAGUUCGAUAACAAGAUAUCCAUAAAACAGCGUUCCGCAUCCAUGAAGGUCACUACGAGUUCUUGGUGAUGCUUUUUGGGCUAACCAAUGCAUUGACGACCUUCCAAUCGUUAAUGAACCGUAUAUUUCGACUACAUCUUUGGAAAUUCGUGCUUGUAUUUUUUUAUGACGUACUAAUUUAUAGCAAGGACUUGAAGGAGCAUUGUGAUCACUUGCAAAGGGUGUUGUUCAUUCUGGCUAACCACUAGUUGCACGCCAAUGAGAAGAAGUGUCUCUUUGCUAAACCGCAGCUAGAAUACUUGGGUCGUUUGGUUUCUACUGAGGGGGUUGCUGUUGACCCCAACAAGUUUCAACCAUGAUAGAGUGACCCACACCCAAAUCCCUCAAAGAAUUGCGAGGGUUUCUUGAAUUGACCAGGUACUACCGUCAAUUUGUCAAGGGAUAUGGAGAUAUUUCUUGGCCCCUCAGUUAGCAACUCAAAAAGGAUGCUUUUAAUUGGAACCCAGAGGUUGAGAUUGCCUUCCAAAAGUUGAAAACAGUUAUGACAACAGUUCCUAUUUAGGCCUUGCCCGAUUUCACUCAGCUCUUCAUUGUGGAGACGGAUGUCUCGAGGUAUGGUUUAGGCGCUAUUUUGAUGUAAGGUCAAUGACCGAUGGCUUAUUUUAGCCAAGUCCUCUCGGUAAGGGUGUGACAAAAGUCCAUAUAUGAAAGGGAGUUAAUGACUAUUGUCUUAGCAGUUUAGAAGUGGCGUCACUACUUGCUUGGUCACCACUUUAUUGUGCGAACGGACCAAAGUAGUUUGAAGUUUUUGUAGAGCAAAGGGUGGUGAAUGAGUCGUACCAAAAGUGGGUCACAAAGUUGUUCGAGUACAAUUUUGAAAUUCAGUUUCGGCCUAGAUUGGAGAAUAAGGCAGCUGACGCCCUAUCUCGCAUCCCCAUAUCUAUUGAGUUAGGUACCCUCAUGGUUCCCAAUCGCUUGGACACUUCGGUGGUUUAUUCACAGGUUGAAGCUAACCCUCACCUUGCUAAGAUUUGACUAGGGUUGUUGGUUAAUCUAGAUGCUUAUCCUUGAUAUUCUUUGGACCAUGGCCUUCUUGUCUACAAGGGGUGCCUAGUUCUUCCCAAGGCCUCACCCCUUAUUUUGACACUUCUUCAAGAGGGCAUGCUAGCGUGGUUGGAGGUCAUUCUGGGUUCUUGCGGACUUACAAAUGGCUCACAUGGGACUUUUUUUGGGUUGGCAUGAAGAAUGACAUCAAAGGGUUUGUGGAAAAGUGUUCAAUGUGUCAACAAAAUAAAGUCUUUACUUUGUCACUGGUUGGGUUAAUAAAAACCAUUGCCUACUCCAGAAAAAAUAUGGGUUGAUGUGAUGAUGGACUUUAUUGAGGGGCUCCCUAAGUCAAAGGGUUAUGAUUCCAUCUUAGUUAUUGUUAGAUUGAGCAAUUAUGCUCACUUCUCCUUGCUUAAGCAUCCUUUCACAGCCUAAAUGGUGGUUGCUGUUUUUGUUUGUGAUAUUGUCAAAUUGCAUGGAAUUCCCUAUUCCAUUAUUCCGAUCAUGACAAAGUAUUUCCUAGUCGAUUUUGGAUGGACCUAUUCCGAUUGCAAGGUACCUCCUCUGUCGUGGUACUGCUUACAUCCUCAAAUAGAUGGAUAAACGGAGGUGGUCAACUGUUGUGUGAAGGCAUACCUUUGAUGCUUUUCAUAUGACAAGCCUCGAUGUUAGUCUACAUGGCUUCCGUGGGCGGAGUACUAGUAUCAUAACAUGUUCCACGCAUCCACUAAUAUGACAUUGUUUUGAGCGAUUUAUGAGUAGGAAGCCCCAUCAUUGCUACGUUAUGGAUCAGAUUCUACAUUUGUUUUGCCAGUGGAUCAGUUGCAGUAAGAGCAUGAUCGAAUUUUAAAUGAACUGAAGGACCAUCUCAGUUGUGCCCAGUCCAAAAUGAAGUCAUCUGCAAUGUCCAUCGUCGUGCAAUGCAAUUUGAAGUUGGGGAUUUUGUCUAUCUCAAUCUUCGUCAUUACCGUCUUCGUUCCCUUGCAAGGCGACCCAAUGAAAAGCUCUCUCCAUGGUAUUUUAGCCCUUACAAGGUGGUGCAGCAAAUUGGUCUAGUGGUGUACAAGUUAGAGCUCCCUUCUUCCACAACUAUUCAUCCAGUGUUUCAUGUUUCACAGCUCAAGUGGGCUCUUGGUUCAGCUGAUUUAUGUCAGCCACUUUCCCCUAGUCUUGUUGAUGAUUUCGAGUGGCUUGUGGAGCUUGAUCAAGUCUUAGGUGUUCGACAGUCUCCCAAUAUCAAUCCUCCUAUUAGUGAAGUACUUAUCCAAUGGAAAGGACUUCCGCAGUUUGAGGCUUCAUGGGAAUCACUCGACAUGAUUAAGGAGCACUUUCUUGGCUUCCACCUUAAGGACAAGAUGUCUUGCAUUGGGGGGAGGGGGAGGGGGGUUGUCGAUGAUAGGCUUCCUAUACGUUAUGUGUAUCCUAGAAAGGGGAAGAGGAGUGUAUUGCCACCCAUGGUUUGAAAUAUUGGUAAACAGGGAUAUAUCAGCACUUGAAUUUUACAGAUAUAUCGGAAAUAUCAGAGAAAUAUCAAUGGAUAUUUUGACAAAAAUAUUGGUAAGGGGAAAAUUAUUCAAAAAUCAUGGAAAUAUUUGGAAAAACUCCAAAAAAUGAUAAAAUAAAUAAAAUAUACAUGUUAAAAUUAUUUCCUAAGUGUAAUUGACAUACAUAUGGUUAAAGAGAAAAAUAUCAAUAAGUAAAGAUAAAUCAAUAUUAAUAAUUUAUUAUUUAUUAUUUAUCUAAUCAAAUUAAUUUUAAUUUAUAAAAAAUUAAAACUUCAUUAUUAUUAUUAUUAUUAUUAUUAUUAUUUUAGUAUUUUUUGAAAAAAUUUAUAUUUUUAAUAUUUUAAAAUAAAAGCAUUCAAAAUUAAAUAAAAUUAAAAUGAUAAAUAUAAAAAAUUUAAAAGUGAAUUGAUAAUAAUUUUUUAAAAUAGGAUUAAUGAGAUAAAUGAUGAUACAUUUAAUAUUAAAACUAUAAUUUAUUUAAUUCAAAUGCAUUCAAUAAUGUAAAAUAAAUGAUGAUGCAUAUAUGAUUUUUUAAUAUUUAUAUUUUUUAUAUUUAAUUAUCACAUAAACGAUAUUAAAAAAUAUUUGUUGAAAAAAUUAUAAUGAUGGAUUUUAUACAUUUAUUAAUUAAUUAAAUAAAAUUUAAAGUAAAAUAAUUAUAAUUAAUUAAUUAAUUUUUUAAUAAUAAACUUUAACAAAUUUAUUAUCAACAUAUAUUAUUAAGUGUGAACUUGGCCCAGUGGUAAUUAGGCUUAAACCCAAGCUUUUUGGCUUGAGUUCGAAUCCCCUAAGCCGCAGCAGCAACGUAAACAUUUCAAAAAAGUUUUGACCACCAAAAAUAUUGAGAAAUAUCCUGAUAAAUCAGAAAAAACAUUUCACCGCAAAAAUUGACGAAAAGUCGGCCGAUCGAUUAUCGAUGAAGAAUAUUAUGUCAGUCAGCUCCGAUAACUGAAAUAUUUUUGCCAAAAAAAUCCAACAUUUCAAACCAUUCUGCCACCUAACAGUUAGUUGUAACAGUCUUGUAUCUGUUUGACCCUUUUCUUGAAAUUCUGGAAAUUCAAUAAUAUUGCUAGUAAUUUUUUCUUCAAUAGAUACCUAUCAGAACCAUCUAGAACCUAGGGAAUCUAAAUGUAAAUAAGAUUUAAAAGAGUCUUUGUUGAGAAGAUUCUUGGUUUGGUCGAACACUUUAAGGCUUGUGAAGGAGCUCAAAGACGUAGACAUAGGGGUGUUACUAAACCACAAUAAAAUCACAAUGUUUGUAAUCUUUCUUCUCUUAAUUCUCUUUAAUUUCAGUACUUUACUUUUAUUAUUUGCAUCAUAUAUUGUUUGUAUUUAAAUUUGGAUAAAAAGUUCAAAAAGAGACCACCCAAUUCACCCCACCAAUCCCCACUCUCCUGGGUGAUUACCUACAUUUGCUUAGCAAGACUACUUAAAUAUACACAACUGUGAUGGCAAAUCAAGACUAGCAUUGUUGUUGGUCAUAAGAAUUAAAUUGCCAUUCUAAGUAGAUACAUUAUAACAGCUCUGGACAGUCUAUAUGUCUAAUUAUUAGAAAUCACAACUAGCCCUAUAGUUCCAAUAAACUGAACAUAUAUUUGAAAAAAAAAAUCUGGAAAUUCACAAAAAGUUCCAUUAUCUCUCUCCAUCUAUUUGGAAUUGAUAUCACCAGCCAAGGUCAAUGAUUCCAAUUCAUAUACAGUCAGAACGCCCAGAGUAGAGUGUGAUUCCAAUAUUUUCUCCUUACCAGGUAAACUUUUCAGGCAUCCCCAUAAUUUUAGAGAAAUAUAAUUGGUUUUGUCCAAAAAACCUAUUCUUGUUUACUCUAUUUAUCCUAAAUUACUUCAUUUGAUCUCAAAUAUAAUUUGGUUUUUCCUUAAGCUUUUCAUUGAUGCUCAAUGCUCACUCCACACACUUAAUUUCUUAAAUUGCUAAUGUUAUCCUCAGUGGCCAUACAAUAUUCUUUCUUUUUUUUUUUCUUUUUUUUAGACAGAUAAAACCAAUUGCAUUAAAAAUAAAAAUGCCACAAGGACACAUCAAUGUACAUAGGAUGUAUACAAAUAGCACCUAACAGCACAAAAACAUGAAAAGAACCCAAGCAACAACCCCCACCCUUAACCAGAACCCAACCACUCAAUGAAAUAAAGUAAAGACUAAGAAUCUAUCUCUAUGUACUUCUUUACCUAAGUGAACAAAUUCCUAAGAAAGAACAUCUUCAAAAACUAAGCAAAAUGCUCCUCAUUAUCAUACAACCUGAGAUUUCUUAUUACACCAUACAAGAUUCUUAUUACACCAUAAAGGCCCCUAUAUUUGACAGAUAUGCCUGGUUAAGUAGAAGAUUAUGCAUGGAAAACCUAUUCUAAUUCUAUGAUAAAUGUCCUACUUCAUGCCAUCUUCCUUUUGAAUAAUUGGAAUGAAAUGGCCUGUUCGGGAUAUCUACUAAUCAAUGAUUUUUUAAUUUACCAAAAUUUCUCUUCAAGUCAACCUCCAACACUGAGAAGUUCAUUUCUACAAAUUUCUUUGCUAUGUUGCUCCCCUGGUUCCAAGCCAAGAAAAACCACUAAAAUCAAGAUCCCCAACAAACAACCAUCAGUUGAGGUUCAUACACACAGAUACUGGGAAAUGGGACAUAGGCCUUCAAUCCUAUAUUCAAUUAUGACUAUCUUUUGCUAAAUGCCGAUUAAACCAUACUGGAUUCCCUGCCUAAUUGAUAAAAAUAUUGUCAAAAAAAUGCAUAUACAUGAGUUACAGUGUUGAAGGGGAAUAACAACAUAUGGAUUUUAUCACUUCUAUGUAAAACAUUUCGAAUAUUACACUAGAAGAACUUAGAAGUUAUCCAGCAAGCAUACAUUUCACUAAAGAAAGCAUACGCUGUGAACAUGAUUGAUUAGUUCACCAACUUCAACACUUCAUAUCAGCCAUAUCUCCUUGGCCAAAUCAAGGAUGGAACAAGACUCCACAAAAUGUUCUGAAACAUGUGUGCAUAUGGAUAGUUCAAAUAAGCUAUAAAAUUACUUGCACAAAUUUUCCAGCAAAAAAAAUGCAAAAAAUAUUCAAUUGAAGACUUUAUUUUAAUUGCAACUAAUCAUAAUGAAUACCAAAUGCAUAUUGUGAAAGUCUCAAGUGCAGAGUUUGAUACACUGUUCUGCAAGCUUACUGUUAGGCCUUUGGUUCACCAACUACAAAUGGAAGGUUGAAACAAUCAAACCUUGGGCAGCUGGACCACCCUGAAACCUACACAUAUUUUUUUUGAUAAGUCCCUGGAGUCUAGACUAAUUUCGAUUAGUUCUUGCUGCUACAUGCCUAUUUGAUGGGAGGCAGUUUUUUUUUGGGUGAUUAUUAACCAACAUUUUGAUUAAUUAACACUAAAGCUAAACCUCUUUUGAGUUACAAUUAAUCAACAUUUGGAUCCAAGAAAAUUUUAAAGUCAAAGUCAUCAAUAAGGAGCAAACCCUAAAUCUGCUUUGAGUUACAAUGAAUCAACAUUUAGAUCAAAGAGCAUUUUAAAGUCAGACUCAUCACUUAGGGAACAAACCCUAAAUCUGGCAUUUUGAUUCCAGCCACUUUCCAAAUUUAUAUGAAUCAGAAAAACCCGCAAAAUAACACACCGAUUAGUCAACAAUUGAACAAGAAAUCAAAUCUAAAACCUUAGUCAUGUCUUUCAACAAAAUACCUCAAAAUGAAGACAAAUCGAACUCCAUACACAAAGAAAUUAAAGCAAACGCAACGCAAAUCAAACACGACCCACAUAAGAUUAACCCAAAAUGAGAACGUAACACUCAAUACACUUCAAUUUUCAUUUGAUUCGCCAUCUGGCUCCCCCCAUUUUCCAUCCAAAAACCCAUAACCCCAGGGUCCCCAACCAACAGAAAAUGCAACACAACAGUCCAAUUACCUGUGCCAAUCGAGACCGAGAACGGCGGUCACGGAGCGAACAGAGAGAACUUCAAAGAGACAGGUGGAGAGCAUGAAGAUCAUCGAAGCAACAAAGGGCAAAACAGAACGGAACUCCAUGGACCAGUGCUUGUAGAAGGGGACGCGAGCGACGGCUACUAGAGCGAGCACUGACCAGAGAGCAGGCAUUAGCCAGGAGUGCCAUGCCGGAGCCAGGUACCGGAGGUAAUCAACAGCCACGUAGGCUAUGGCGGCCACACCUAGUCCCCCGGCCCUCGCCCUCGCAGUCACCGGAGGUCGCCACUUCAUAGCUGUGGAGAAGAGAGGGAGCAGUGAUCCAAGCAAAAUUAUUUUUCAAAACAUCGUUCCAUUAAUAUUCGUUAAAGAGAAUAGUAACGGAAGCUAUCUGGAAAGCCGGGUUCACAUUCCCAGAAACAUGCAUCCAAAAUAAGAAAGAAAUUUUUUACUUUCUCUAAUUCUUUUUAUCUUUCAUUCUCUCAAUUUUCUCAAUUCUUUUUUAUGAUUUUUUUCCCUAUAAAUAUUAUUAUUAAAAUAAUAUAUAAUUUAUUUCUAUUACUUUAUUUGCAUUGCAUUUAUUCUUGUUUCACAACGAUUUAUCAACACAAAUUGCUUUGAAGGUAAUUAUCAUAUCUUAAACUUGAAGUUAUUUAUAUAGAAUAAAAUUUUACAUAUUUAUAUUAUUGUUGAUUUGUUUUGUCAUAUAUUGUUAAAAGUUAUAAACAAAUUAUUUAACUUUGUUUAUAAUCAAAGUUAUACCAAUGCUAUCAAUUUAUUAUAACUGAUUCAAAUAAUAUUGUUUUGUCAUAUAUAUAUGAAGUUAUUUGACAAUAUCGAAUCUCACAAAACUCGAAUUUGUAGCACUUGAUAUUUCAGGAAAGAACUAUCUAUCUUGGAUCUUGAUGCUGAAAUACAUCUUGAUGUAAUGAAUUUUGGAGCUAUGAUCAAAGAAAGAAAUAAAGCAUCCUUGGAGGAUCGUGUAAAAACAUUGAUUUUCCUUUGUCAUAAUCUCCAUGAAGGUUUAAAAAAUAUAAAAAUAAAUAAUGAGCUUUUGAUGAUAAAUCACCAGUCUCGUCUAACUAGAUUUGAACCAUUCCUUGAAAUGAAUACUUCCUUGAAAUGAAUACAAUAUCGUCAUAAACUCGUGGACGAGGACGUGGUCGUGGUUGUGGAAGAAAUCUCCGAUACCAUGGUUCUUAUAGUAAUAAUUCAUCAAAUUCUCAAAAAAUGAAAGCCUCAUUGCACCAUCAGAAGUGGAACAAUAUUGAGGUAUAACAAAAAAAUGGGAAGUGUUUAUAAGAUAAAUCUCCUAAAAACCAUAAGAAUAAUUGUUAUAGAUAUGGCAUGAAGGGACAUUAGUCGCGUACAUGUCGUACGCCCAAACGUUUGGUUGACCUUUACCAAGCAUUAAUAAAAGCAAAAGGAAAAGAGAUAGAGAUGAACUUUAUCGAUAAUAAUGGAUUGGACCUAACCUACUAUGACAUAGAUUUCUUUGGAGGUCCCAGUAAAAAACAGACCAUUUAAUAAAUGAUGAGAAGAUUAACAUUGAUUGAUGUUAAUUUAUAUAUCAAAUAAUAUAGUAUUAUGUUUUAUAUUUACAUCUGAUUUUUUUUUUUUUGUUAUUUACAUUAUGCCUUGUUUUUUUAGUUAUAUCUGAAAUCCAUGUGUUAUUUGGUCUCAAGAUGAAUGAGGAUGAUGUAUGUCUCACAGACUAUGCAACCACGCACACAAUUCUUUGAGAUAAAAGAUAUUUUUUCGAAUUGACAUUAAUAAAAGCUAAUGUAAGUACCAUAUUUAGUACUACAAACUUAGUUGAAGGCUCUAGAAGAGCAAACAUAACACUACCAAAUGGAACUAGAUUCCAUAUAAAUGACACUUUAUAUUCUAGCAAAUCUAGAAUAAAUUUGCUCAAUUUUAAAGAUAUCCGCAGAAAUGGAUAUCAUAUUGAAACUAUGAAUGAAGAUAAUGUAGAAUAUCUUUACAUUACUUCUAUUAUAUAUGGCAAGAAGCUUAUAAUGGAAAAACUCACGAAUUUCUUUUCUAGGUUGUAUCAUACAACUAUAAAGCCUAUUGAAUCAUAUGUUGUCGUGAACCAGAAGUUCAACAACCCAAAAGUUUUUUUCCUUUGGCAUGACAGACUAGGUCACCCGAGGUCUUCAAUGAUGUGUCGAAUAAUCAAACACUCACAUGGGCAUCCACUAAGGAACCAGAAGAUUCUUUUGCCCAAUGAAUACUCAUGUGCUGCCUGCUCACAAGGUAAAUUGAUAGUCAGACCAUCUUUUACUAAAGUCAUAUAUGAGUCACUAGUCUUUUUAGAAAGAAUACAUGGAGACAUAUGUGGGCCUAUUCAUCCACCAUGUGGACUAUUCCAUUAUUUUAUGAUCUUAAUAGAUGCUUCUACUAGGUGGUCACAUGUUUGUCUCUUUUCUACACGUAAGGUUGCCUUUUCUAGACUCCUUGCACAAAUAAUCAGAUUACGAGUACAAUUUCCAGAUUAUCCAAUUAAGACAAUACAUCUUGAUAAUGCUGGUGAAUUUACUUCUCAAACAUUCAUUGACUAUUGCAUAUUAGUAUGGAUAAAUAUUGAGCAUCCUGUUGCUCAUACUCAUACCCAAAAUGGUUUAGCAGAAUCCUUCAUCAAACAUCUCCAAUUAAUAGCUCGACCAUUACUAAUGAAAACUAAACUACCUACUUCUGCCUAGGGACAUGCUAUUAUGCAUGGUGCAACUUUAGUUCGUAUUCGACUUACAACUUACUAUGAAUACUCUCCUUCACAACUUGUGCUUGGAAAACAACCAAACAUCUCUCACUUGCGAAUCUUUGGUUGUGCAGUAUACGUACCAAUUGCACCUACACAACGCACCAAAAUCGGUCUCCAAUGAAGACUUGGGAUUUAUGUAGGUUUUGAUUCUCUAUCUAUCAUAAGAUAUCUUGAGCCUUUGACAGACGAUGUUUUUACAGCCUGCUUUGCGGAUUGUCAUUUUAAUGAUAGUGUUUUCCCAUCAUUAGGGGGAGAAAAGUCGAUUCCUGAAGAACAACGAGAAAUUAGUUGGAAGACAUCUACUACUAUGACUCAUCUUGAUCUUCGUACAAAUCAAUGUGAACUAGAAGUUCAAAGGAUCAUUCAUUUGAAAAGUCUUGCAAAUCAAUUACCAGACGCAUUCAUUGAUACAAAGAAAGUGACAAAGUCUUAUAUUCUGACUGCAAAUACUCCAACACAGAUUGAUGUCCUUGUAGAACAGUUAACAAAUGAAUCUAAGAUAUGCUUGAAGCGUGGUAGACCUAUUGGCUCAAAGGAUGUAACUUCCCGAAAGAGGAGAACCCAAGAAAAACUUGGCACUAUAAAAUAGGCCAUCAAAAUGACUGAUCAAUUUAAAAUUGAUAAAUCUAUAGCCCCUGAAGAGGCACAUAUUGAACAAGAAGCCCUUGAAGAGGCACAUGUACCUGAAAAUUGUGAGAUCUCAGUAAGUUAUGUACACACGGGAAAAAAAUGGGAUCAAAAUAAUAUUGUUAUUGAGAAAAUAAAGGUUAUGCUUAAAUAAGAAAAACACCCAAAAGGGGAGUGAAUUAGGUUUUUCAAAAACUUUUUCAACACAAAAAAUUUAAGUACAAUAUAAUAAAAAAUAAAGAGAUAGAGUUAUAGAAUUCAAACUUGGAUUUUAUAGUGGUUCAACACUUCUUUACCUAUGUCCACUCUUUUCAAUCUCCUAACUGAGUGAGGUUUCUACUAACUUAAAGCUUCAACCAAGCUUUCAAUUUUCUUACACUUGGAUUCCGACUCCAAUGGGCUCUUACACAAUUUCUUCAAGAUUCAAACCUCUUGAACAUUUUAACACUCAAUUUUUACAAGAAUGAAUCCCUCAACCUAGCUCAAAGAUAACUCAAAUACAAAACAAAGUUAGGAUGACUAACAAGGAUGCAUUAAAAGAUAUGCAAGUGAGGAUUUAAUGCACUAAAAAAGAAAUGAGAGCUUUUAAGCCAAGAACAAGUGGGUAGACAAUUGAUUGCAAGUGUUCUCAAUUUAUAAGUUUCUAAACUCGGGAGCCAAGAAAAGCAAAAGGUAGUCUCGACCGGUCGAGUUGGGGGUUGACCGGUUCACUAGCCAUUGGAGCAUUUAAUGUUUUGACAGGUUACCAUUGCCUAGACCGGGAAGAAGGAAACCUCAAUUGGGAAAAGGAAGCUACUGGAUGAGAAAGAGUGUUUUUGGUACUCCUCGAUUGGACCUCGACCGAACAAGGGCAACCGGUUGAGCCGGUUGGCCAGAACCUCGACCAGUUUAGCAUUUUGGCCCCGAAAACCUAUCUUUUUCAAUUCCUUUCUUUUCUAACACUUAGGCAAGGUCUUUAGGUAAAUUAAUAUGCCAAUUUUAAAACGUUUUGCCUAAGGUACAUUUGAUAAAACUCGAGUUUUAAUGAAAUCAAAAUUUUAAAGAAUAAACUGAGUUUUCAAAGAUGCAUGAAAAUGUAUGAAAAACCUAAAUGCACCCAUGCAUUCAUCUUACAUUCGUUUCCUAUGAUCAAAAGUCUUCCAAAAGUCUCGAUCUUGUAUCCAUUUGGUCAUUUGAUGAAUUUCCGAAUUUAUACCUGAGAUUCUUUUACCAUUCAAAUCAAUUAGUCACUUAACCAUGAUUGGUUAUCAUCAAAACCUGAUUAGGAGAACCCUUGGGCUAACAGUUAUUAACAAUAUUUUCGCUUUCCAAGUAGCCUCUGAUAUCAUAAGAAAUGAUGAAGAUCUUGAACCAAAAAAUAUGGAAGAAUACUGACAUAGAAAUGAUUGGCCAAAAUGGAAAGAAGCUAUACAGGCAAAGUUAAACUCAUUAACAAAAUGAGAAGUUUUUGGACCUAUAGUCCAAACACCUGAAGAUGUAAAGCCUGUUGGGUACAAAUGGUAUUUGUAUGAAAGCGUAAUGAGAAUAAUGAGAUUAUAAGAUAUAAAGUGCAAUUAGUAGCAUAAGGUUUCUCGUAGAGACCUGGUAUUGACUACGAGGAAACAUAUUCUCCCAUCAUGGACGCAAUCACAUUUCGUUUCUUAAUUAGUUUGACAUUCUCAGAAGGACUGGAUGUGUGUCUCAUGAAUGUUAUUACAACAUAUUUAUACAGAUCCAUGGAUAAUGAUAUAUACAUAAAAAUCCCUAAAGGAUUUAAAUUGCUUGAAGUAAAUAGUACAAAGCCUCACAACAUGUACUAAAUCAAGUUACAAUGAUCGUUGUAUGGAUUAAAGCAAUUUGGACGCAUGUGGUACAAUCAUCUUAGUGAAUACUUGCUAAAAUAAGGGUGUGUGAAUAAACCUAUAUGCUCAUGCAUCUUCAUUAAGAAAUCAAAAACCGGAUUUGCAAUUAUUGUAAUGUAUGUUGAUGACUUAAAUCUUGUUGGAACUCUUGAAGAGCUCACAAGAACAACAAAUUACUUGAAAAAUGAAUUUGAAAUGAAAGAUCUUGAAAUUUUUUUUUUCUCGGCCUAUAAGUCGAGUAUUUUCCAAAUAGAGUUUUAGUACAUCAAUCAACAUACAUUAAUAAAGUUUUGAAACAUUUUUAUAUGGAUAAAACGCAUCUUUUAAGUUCUCCAAUGGUUGUCCAAUCAUUUGAUGCGAAAAAGGACCCAUUUUGUCCUUGUGAAAAAGAUGAAGAAUUACUUGGUCCUGAAAUACCAUAUCUUAGUGCUAUUGGUGCACUUAUGUAUCUUGCCAAUUGUACACGUCUAGACAUUGUUUUUUUUUUUUGUCAAUUUAUUAGCAAGAUACAGUUCCGCUCCCACUUGAAGACAUUGGAAUGGUAUUAAACAUAUAUUGCGUUAUCUUUGCGGAACUACUGAUACGAGUCUAUUUUACUCAAGGGAAUCAAAGCAACAAUUGCUUGGAUAUGCAGAUGCAUGAUAUCUUUCAGAUCCACAUAAAGGUAGGUCACAAUUAGGGUAUGUGUUUAAUUGCAAUGGUACUGCUAUUUCAUGGAGAUUUGUCAAACAAACAAUAGUGACCACAUCGUCAAAUCAUUCAAAAAUACUGACAAUUCAUAAAGCAAGUUGUGAAUGUAUAUGACUAAGAUUUAUGAUCCAGCAUAUUCGGGAAUCAUGUGGACUCUCCUUUAUCAAAGGUGACCCGACAAUAUUAUUUGAAGAUAAUGUUGCAUGCAUUACACAAAUAACAGGGAGUUAUGUUAAAGGGGAUAGAACUAAACACAUUUCACCAAAAUUAUUUUAUACACAUGAAUUCUAGAAGAGUGGUGAAAUUGAUGUGCAAAAAAUAUGCUCAAGUGUUAAUCUAGUAGAUUUAUUCACAAAAUCAUUGUCAACCUCAACAUUCAAGAAGUUAAUACACAAGAUUGGAAUACGUCAACUCAAGGAUAUUGACAUGAGGAGGAGUAUGCUUGUAAAAGGGUGUUAGUGUACUAUACUCUUUUUUCCUUCGUCCAGGUUUUGUCCUACUGGGUUUUACUAGCAAGGUUUUUAACGAGGCAAUCCUAACAUACCAAGAGCAACUUAAAGAAUUAUAAGAAUAUUGUACUAUUUUUCCUUCGCUAGGUUUUUCCCAUAAUGUUUUUUACUAGCAAGGUUUUAAUGAGACAUAUUCUUUAAUGUGGUGGACAUCCAAGGGGGAGUAUUAUAACUGAAGUAAUAAAUGUCACCACAUUAAUUACAAUAAAUGUUAAUUAAGUAUUAUUUAUGAUUUCCAUUAAUAUUCAUUAAUGGAAACUAUUAAUGUUAUUUAUGAGUCUCAUUAAUGGAAACCAUUAAUGUUAUUUAUGAGUUCCAUUAAUAUUCAUUAAUGGGAAUAUUAAUGGAAGCCAUUUGGAAAGCCCAUAAAAAGGGCUUCCCAUCCUCUGUCAUAUGCAUCCAAAACAAGAAAGAAAUUUCUUACUUUCUCUCAUUCUCUCUAUAUUUCAUUCUCUCAACUUUCUCAAUUCUCUUUUGUGAUUUUUUUCCCUAUUAUAUAUUAUUAUCAAAGUAAUAUAUAAUUUAUUUCUACUAAUUUAUUUGCGUUACAUUUAUCCUUGUUUUACAACAAAAAAGUAUUUUUAAAUACGCCAUUUGACCCAAAAAAAAGAAAAGAAAAGAAUUUAAGAAAAUGCAAUAUGAUAUUAAAUCUGAAUUUAUAUAACAUUUUCUUUCAUAGUAUAUGCCACCUCAUUUUUCAAAAAAUUUCUUUCCAUCCCUUUAAUAAAUAAAUAAAUAAAAUAAAAUUUUCUUUAUUUUUUAUUUUAAUAAAUAAAUAAUUUUAUUUAAAAUUCAAUGGUGAUUUGAGGGGAGCAUAAAGAAAUUAACGUAAAUGUGAUACAAAUAUUUUAAUCUUUUUAUUUAUUUUUUCAUAUUAUAGUGCUUAUAACCAAAUUUUUAUUACAAGUAUGAAGGAUUCAAUAAAUAUUUAUAAAUUUCAAUCAAAUGGUAAUUUGCCUGAAAUUUCAUUUAUGCAUUAUUAAUAUCUCAUAUUAGUCAUUAAACAUCAUUUGUAAAAUAUUUAGAGAGUGUUUCUAUUUGAAGUGUUUUUAGUAAAAGUGCUUUUUUUGACAGUGUUUUUAAGAGAAUCAUCUAUCAAGAGCCCGUUUGGCAGUGAUUUUCAAAACUGUUUCUACCCUUAAAAACACUUUUCAGUGUUUUUGGGAUAAAAAUAAAGUGUUUAACAAAUUUUUAAAAACACUUUUGAAAAUCUGGGAAAACACUUAAAGUGAUUUUUAGAUAAUCACUUGACAAGUGUUUUUUAAAAAAAACACUUCAAAAAAUUUGAAAUAUUCCAAAAAUGCCCCCAAGUGAUUCCUGAUAUCUUCCUUCCUUUUCGCUCAUACCUCUCUCCUUCAUUCUCCUCCUCCAUCGCUCUCCAUCCGAGACUACACAGUAGGAAAGACACUCCACUUUUAUUCAACAUCGUUGAUCGGAUCGAAGGUAACCCUCUGUUCUUUUGUUGUUUUUCUUUUCUAUUUUUUUUUUAAUGUCUGAUUGUCUUGAAAUGUUAGUUAGGGUUUUAGGUUUUAGGAUUGUUUAGUUAAGAGAAAAAUAUGAGAAAAUGAAACUUGUAAAUCCUCAAAUGUUUUUAUAGGAAUUACUUCCAAGCCUUAACAAUUUUAGAUCUAUUUUUCAAUAGAGCAGUCGAGUCUCAUUUCCCAGUACUUCUCUCUCUAAAACUCUCAUUCUCUAUUUUGGUUCACAUAUGAAAUUGCUCUAUUUAGGGUUUUUGAGUUCACAUAGUCUCGACAAUUCAAAAAAGCAACAUUUCAGUUCCCUAAAAUUCAACUACAUUUGAACCUAAACACAUGCAAUCUUUUAGAAAUCAAUUGCAGAUCAACACAUAUCAUAAUUCUCAACUCGAUAUCAGAAAUUAAACAUAGCCAAUUCAAUUAAAAGGAAUAUAAAAACUAUUGAUUCAACUUAUAAAUAAAACAUCAAAUCAUAAAAUUUAAAACUGAAAGACUAACCAUGCAUUGCUGAACACUGAACUGGAAAUCCCAUAAAAUCUGAAUGUUGAUGUUAUUCGAAAUCUUGUUGUUGCCUGCAACCGCUGCAUUUCAGGUAUGAUUAAAAAAAAGGAAUAAAAGAUAGAAAUCAGGAUCUUAACUGACGAAAUGGAGAAACUUACCGGUGAAGAGAGAAUAUUGAAUGCCAAAAAUGAAAAGAAAGAAGAAGAGGGCAGCGUAGAUAAGAUGGAAAAUAGUGAAUCUCAUCUUGUUGGAAGAGAACCUACUUAGAGGAUGAAGAGGUCUCAUGAUUGAGAUUCGUAGACUGAUUUCAAAUCAAUUUUCGUGUAGAUCUCUGCUAUAGCUAAUAGGGGGACUAUGGAUUGUUUACAGUUCCUGCUUCUUGGAGUUGUACCUUCUAGGUUGAGAAUGCCUUCUAUGUGUUUUCAAUAAGUUAUAGAACCACUCCUUUUUCCCAGUUUGAUCUUAGGUUUUCUAUGUCAUAUUGGGUUGUCCAUCUUCUGAACAUGGGCUAAAACAUCAUCUUUGCAUUCUCAAUGAGCCAAAUUCUAGAGUCAUAAUUAAGCUGCUCAGUGACACCUGCAAGGGAGAAAUGAGCUGGUUUCAGGCAAGUCAUAGAACUCAUUGCGAAGAGGUGGAAUUGACUUCCUCCUAUAUGUGAAACAUUCCAACUAGUUUUCAGAUGGUCAAGACUUGAUUACAUUGCAAUACAUGUCUAAAUGUAGAGAGGCGGUUAGAGUAUGACUUGCAAUAGAAACAAAGAAAAUGUAGACCCAUUAAAUCAAUAUCCUGAUGCAAAGAAAAAAAAUUUAUGAGAGAAGCGGAACUAAAAAAUUUAGUUUCUACCAAAUUUAGGAUUUGUAGGCUUUGUAUGUAUCUUCAGUUUCUACCAAUGAGGAUUUCUUUUCAACCAAGAUUAUUGCACUUGAGGAUUUCUUUUUCUUAUUUGUUUAUUAUGCUUUACAGAAUUUGCCUAUAUGAUGUUCAAUACCGAGUUUACAUUUUAAAAUUUUAAUCAUACCAAGCAUUGUCUACACUAGAUAACCAUAUAUUCUUGAUGUUUUGUUCCUUAAUUCUUUUUUUAUUCUUCAUUUUAAUUGUGUGAUUCUUUGUUUGAAAAUUAUUAUUUCUCUAAAAUAUAUAUAUUUUUAAAUAGAGAAUGUCUAGCAACAUUGUUUAACCAUUACAACAACCAAGUGGUGGAGAAAGUAAAAAACAAAGCAAGGCUUAUUGGGAUGAUAUUACAAUGGAUGCUUUUAUCAAAGUUUGUGUGAUUGAGACCUUGAUUGGAAAUAGACCAAAUAAUCACUUUAACAAGUUGGGAUGGAAAAAUGUGAUAAAAGCCUUCAACAAUUUGUUUGGAAGAAACUAUCAAUAUAGGCAACUUAAGAAUAAAUGGAGUUCUCUUAAAAAGGAUUGGGAACUUUGGAAUACCUUGAUUGGGAAAGAGACUGGCCUUGGGUGGGAUCCUAUGAGACAAACCAUCAAUGCAAGCAAUGAAUGGUGGGAUAAGAAAUUGAAGGUAUGUUUUGUUUAUUCAUUAAAUUUAUUUGAUUAAUUUAUAUAUUGGUUAUGAAAUAUGAUAAAUUAAAUACUCUUGUAGGAGAAUCCUGAAGCAAUAAAGUUUAAAACAAAAGGCUUGAAAAAUGUUGAGUAAUUAGACAUACUUUUCAAAUAUAUUAUUGCUACUGGUGAAGGAGACUGGGCACUAUCACAAGGCUUUGUAGGACAAGAUGUUGAUGAUUCAUCUAAGGUGGGGGAACACGAAGAUAAUAUAAUAGAAGACCAAGAUGACUCUAGUUGCAAUCUGCCACUUAAUACUAUCUCCAAUAGUUUUGAAGCUACUACUCAACCUUCUAUGGCAAAAAAGAAUGAAGGAAGAAGAAAGAGGAAAAGAAAUGAAACCAAAUAUGAGCUUGUGGCUAUCCAGUUAGAGCGCAUUUGUAGUGCUGUGGAGAAUAGGUCUUCUAUCUCAUCUAAAGGAGAUAAACCAGGUUGUAGCAUUGCUGAAGUGAUGAAAAUCAUACGUGGGAUGCCUGAAGUGAAGAAUGACUUUGAGUUAUAUAUGAAAGCCACAAAUAUCAUGGUUGUCAAGGAAAAUAGAGAUAUGUUUGUUGCAUUAGAAGACCCAAUUGAUCAGAUUGCAUGGCUUAAACAUAAACAUGUUUGAGUGUUGGAGUUGUUUCUUGUUUUUAUAUGGAAACAUAUUUUUNNNNNNNNNNNNNNNNNNNNNNNNNNNNNNNNNNNNNNNNNNNNNNNNNNNNNNNNNNNNNNNNNNNNNNNNNNNNNNNNNNNNNNNNNNNNNNNNNNNNAAUUGAUCAGAUUGCAUGGCUUUAAACAUAAACAUGUUUGAGUGUUGGAGUUGUUUCUUGUUUUUAUAUGGAAACAUAUUUUUGUUACCUAAUAUUGUUUAGUUGUUAGGUUGAGGGGAGGAAAGAGAUGUUGGUUUGCUUUAUGUGUGAAUUGCAAAAGUCAUUAUGCCCUUAUUUGAUACUUUUUAUUAUUUCUUUCUCUAAAAAUUGUGACUAUUAGAUGAGCUUUGGUGGUAAACUUCUUAUAAAAUUUGGUAUUGUUUUUCAUUUUAUUAAUGUGUAGUUCCUCUGUUCUUUUUUUAUAUUUCAUCUUAGUCAUUUAACAUUUUUUUUUGGGUUUAUUUUUUCUAUAAGAUAUAUUUUUUUAAUAUAGAAUGUCUAGCAAUGGUAGGAAUUCUAAACUUCAAUUGUGUACUUUCUAAUUUUUAAAAAUAACUAUAGUAAUUGAAAAUAUACAUUAUUGUUGUUUAUUAACGUAUUUCUUUUUUUAUUUUUAUUUGUGUAGAUGUCUUCUAAUAACAAUGAUCAAAAUUUUGAUGAUGAAAGCGAUGAUGAACAUGAUUUUUAUCAAUUGGUGCUUGGGGGUUGUGUUGUAGCUGCAACACAUACUAGUUUCAAAGGAAAAAAAACCUUGUAGAACUUCUUCCCACACAAGAUACAAGUUUGUAAUGGAUGUCUUAAAUGGCUAUGAAAUUAGGUGUUUUGAGCA